GGGAGAUUACUGCAGAAGAACUUCGAGCCUACGAUGGCACUGAUCCCAAUAAGCCUUUGUUGAUGGCCAUCAAAGCUCAGAUUUAUGAUGUUUCUCGGUCAAGGUAUGUGAGGUGAAAGGGGUGGAUCUAUUUUGUCAUUCUUAUCCAUUGUUUUGUGCUUUGUUAGUUGGACAUCCUUCUCUUCAAAGAUUCAUUGUUGUGAUUGUGGCUUGCUACUGGUGGUUACAACUAGUGUGCACUCAUUGGAUGUGAGAAGUGAUUGUGAACCUCAAAUGCUGUAACAGCAAAAGCAAUAUGCCUCCCUCGUAAAUGCAUUGGAAAGUUUCAAGAGGAGAUUUUAUCGAGGAUGGUAUUUACUUUUGUUUUCACAGUACUUGAUGUUGCUUUUGUAUCAUUGUUAGUAACAGUACAAUGAGUGUAUUCCCAAUUCAUGAACAAGCUACAUUCAGUUGGGAAGUGUUUGGUACUCUGAAGGGACGUACCUUCUUUCUUUGUUUAUCUAUUUCGUGAACUGUAACAUCAUAGGAAAAAUUGCACCCAAAUUGCAUGUGUGGACUCUGUAAGAUUAACGUAUUGAUUGUUCAUCAUCCUUAAAGGAGCUUUUGUUUAUCUCAUUAUAGUGGUUGCACUCACUGUGUUUCCUUCUUUUGGAAUACUAUUGUUACUUUCGGUUGAAUUUAUAGAUGAUUGUCGCAUGAGCAGAUCUGUAAUGGGAUACUUGCAGUCUCAAUCAACUGCUUGCCAUGGAAUUUUCCUCUCCACUUGAGCACGGAUCCAAUAAAACUGUUGGGUUUUACAUGCCUGGGUCUGUUCGAGUAGACUCUAGAAUCGUCUCUCUUCCGAGGUCUAUCGUUUGAGAGACCUAUCAUGUAACGGAUAAACUUCUGAGACUUACUAUGGAACGCUCCUGGAACAUCGUAACAGGGCAUUUUAUGGACCUGGCGGACCAUACGCACUCUUUGCUGGGAAAGACGCCAGCAGGGCUCUGGCCAAAAUGUCUUUUGAGGAGAAGGAUCUGACUGGCGACAUUGAAGGUUUGAGCCCUUAUGAAGCUGAAGCUUUGACCGAUUGGGAGUACAAGUUCAUGAGCAAGUAUCAGAAAGUGGGUACCGUCAAGCAAAUCCCUGUCUCAGACAAGAGUGAGAACGUUCCAACUACACCUACACCCGACGCUGAAUCGGAGACAUCAAAGGUCGAAUGAUGAAUGUAGAAUACUGUUGUUGGAGCCAGUGAAGUCGGAAAUCGCAGUAUGGAAAAUGCUUUUGUGUUUGUACAUGUUGUUGUACAGCGUCAAGAAAAGUUUCUUGUUUUACUGCAGGGUAUACGUGCAUAAUGUUUGUUCCAUCCCGGUAAAAUCAAACUGUCCUCAGGUUGAAGUGGAUGAUACUACUUAAUUCGUGUCCGACUUCCAUUUUCAGUAAGUUAUAGUGAUGCCUACGUGAGACACUCAAAUACCUAGCUGCUAGGAAUCCCCCAGUGUUCAUUUCAUUUUAUUUUUCAAAAAUAACUCAUAGGGCCGCUAAAUUCAAAAUAUGGGCUUCUCUGGAUUUUGUAUCAGUUCAUGCACACCUUGUUGCUGGUUCUUCCUAGGGCUAUUGAACUUGCCAUUCCCUUGCAACUGAUAUCUAUUUUCUGGAUCUGUCGUGCACAACCAUGUCGCUAGUGUGUAUAUAGUGUUGAACACAUUCUUAAGAUUCGUUGAGCAUAAUUGACAUGCAAUCUAAUUAUUCAUGAACAAUUUGCUAGGACUCUUUGUUAGUACUUAAGUGCAUACAUCUCAUAGUCUAAAAUAAUAAACAGUGUGCGAUAAAUCUUGGUUGCUAGAGGAUUAAAGAAAGACCAAAUAAUUGCAUGUUAAAAUUGUCAAUUGAGAAAAAAUUGUUUACAAUGCACAACCCUGCGCAUGGGUCAAAAAUUCAUUGCAGUAACACCGUCUGCUCAGGCGUUGUUACCUCCAAAUAAAUCUCCUAAGAUUGUCUCCAAAAUUUCGGGAGUAUACUUAAUGUACUUGUCUGAAUCACGGCCACGGCCUUCCAACAGAGACCCGAAGUGUCCCAGAAAGCUUCGGUACGCAGGUACAACCAUUUGUGUGACUGCUGCUAAGGUACCAUCCCUCAAAUCCUUUUCUGCUAUGAGCCACUUCGACUGGAUUUGAACAGUCUCGUCGAAUGCAGCGUUAAAUGCUCUCAAUUUUUGCCGCACCAGAUCACGUGAGCCGCUUUUACUUGAUGAGGAUCCCUUUAGUCCGUCACUGUUGAGAUGCUGGAGUACCUGCUGCCAUGCUUCUCGUUGGUACUUCAAUGCAUUUGUUGACACCUGUACGGUAUUGAAAAAUUGAAAUGAUACGACAUAUUGCGUUCAAACUAAACACCAGCACACUGCUAAGUAUGAAGCUGAAAACUAUACCUUGUAAGAUUUAUAAGAAGAUGCAAUCUUGGAUCUCAGCUACUGAGGCUAUAGACCGAUAGGUUUGUUACCCACUGUAGUUAAGAGGAGUUGCAACUUUCAAUAUUAACUUCUAUCAUUCACAUUAAUAAAUUGAAAGUGACCAGUUCAAGAGACAAUACUUACCUUGCGACCGACCUCAGAAAUCCAGUCUUCGCCUAACAAUGGCCCCAGAGCAUUGUUCUUCACACGAUUGCGAAUAUAGUACAUGUUGUUCAUCAGAAAAAUGUGACGUAGGGCAGGGUCGUGAAACUCCUUGGCGCGCGUCUCCACUAGUCCUUCAAGAGUAUUCAGAAUGAGAGCCAAUCCCUCAGGCAGCCCCUUAUCUUCAGCUCCCUCACCCUCCCAGCUUUGCGCAAUUCGUAGAACCUUGCUCAAUGUUAUGGGAAACAAAGCAAUCACAUAUCCCAGAUAAUUGACCACCCAACUGCAAAGUUGCAUGACCCUACCGUCCAGAGAGACCCCUUCUUUUUGCUCCUUUAUCCAGUCAUCAAUGUCCCAAAAUGUCUUUCCAGCAGCAUAGACAAUCUAUAAUCAUGGAACACGAAAAAAAUAAGUUAAAUCUCAGGCCUUCACGAAUUACAACUCAAAAUUAACAUGCACAUUUCGUGAAUCGUUUUUAAAAAACCCAAAUUAUUUCCCAACAUGAACGCAAAAUCAUCAAAAUUAGAAUUCUCGUCACGUAGGCGUACUUCAUAAUGCAGGAAAACUAUUUUUUUCCGAGUUAAUAAAGCGACGGUUAUUUGUGAGCUACAUUAGGUAGCACUAUGAUGAUUUAAGAUAGGGUAUGGAGUUAGUCAUAGAGUAUUAAGUACCUGUUUCAAAAGCUCUCGGUAACGUGAUCGGAUCUCACCACAAGCCUGCCCAUCGAAUACCUGAAUAACACUAUGUUCACACUUCUCCAUGCUUUCAUACAUUUCAAGCAGCUUGCAGAGCUUCUCGGGGGAACGUUCGCUUGCUGCAACACUUUCUCCAAAUCUCAGGAAUGUAUCCAUCUCAGGCUCAGCUAAGUCAUAUAAGAUUUCCACCCAGACUGCUUGCCCCACAUUUUUGAACACUUGACGAGCAAGGCGUCUUUCACCGGUAUACAGCAUCUUCACAAUAACCUCAAGUUGUUGGGCCCAUUUUUCCACCAUGUUUUGUAAAUCAUCCCAUGGAAUUGAGUUCACUGUUUUUGGGGUGACAUUGUUCAUGUAACGCACGUCCAGAGCCUGAAGCAGCAAAAAAGAAGAAACGCACAGCAGUCAGCAAUGAAGGCUUGAACACAAUAAUAAAGACCAAUACAUGACGGGUAAUUUCAAAUUACUCGAUAGAACAGAGAAGCUUCAGCUCUAAAGGCUACGAGGUGACUCAGACCUAAGUUUCAAGUAAGAUGCCUAGCAUGAAGAGUUGAAAUAAAUGUAAGAACUUGCAUCCAGUCAUAUUCGGGUUGCCAGUUGCAACAGAUACCUCGCGACAUUCACCAAUUGAACACUAAAACGUAGGAUUCGAAAAGUCUUAUUGUUACCACAAAGCUGUUGGAAAAGGCAAAUAGUUUAGGCAACAAGAACAUCAUCCAGUACCUAAGACCAACUGUUGCAAAGAGCACUUACUUUCAGGCUUUCUUCACAAAGUACAAGUCGAGUGUCUUGGUACGCAUCUACACAUCUUUGGUAAUGAACGUUGCCAGCUAAUUUUUCUAUAAUAGUUUGCAAUUUCUGCAGGACCUGCGGAGGGUAGCUGACCAGAUAGUCCAACUCAGAGGAAGGAGGAGAGUUUGAUUCUCGAGGUGCCAUUUGUUCGGGUAAUUCAAUAGGUUGACUGUGCUCACUUAUCAGGCGCUUAAAUUCUUUCUCAAGCUUGCCAAGUGCAGUGACUAAUAAUCCACCAUCGAGCUCAUGUGCUCCACCUGCAAACCAAAACGCGCUUCCUUCAGUUUAUCAAUUUCUGCAGUAGAAUCAACUGCCUUGAACAGAUCUUAUAAACAAGACCGAUUGACAAGCUGAGAACAGCAAGCAAGCUCACAAAGGUUAUCUUCAUCAAUCGAGUGCAUGUGAAACCAAUCCAUAAACGCUCUAGCGAAACGCAUUUAACGCUGAGAACACCAUGAUUGAACUUUUGAAAUUGAGGUUUUAGCACAUUUAGUUGUGGUUUCAACAAGUUGACAUAAUUUUGGAGAACUAUGUUUUAGAACGCCGUUAAUAGUCAUGAACCCUUUGCUAUAUUCCUAUAACAUUCAGCGCCUUGUGAAUACCUACCCGCCUGUUGAGACUGCAAAGUUGCAAGUGAUUCAUUGAGUCGCCGUAAGCGCACAGUGUCUGUAGAGCCUGUAUAGUUCAGGUAAGCGACAGCUUCUUGCAACCAAUUGAUGGCCACAAUCGAAUUGUGUUUCAAAUAAUCGACAGCUUCUUCCAGCUGUAUUAAUGCAGCCAAGUAACCAUCGAAAUCAUCUCUAGGCUCCUUCACCAAUCUUACCCUAAUCUUGCUCACCACAUCAAACAUUUUAAGAACCUGCAUCGCUGGUUCUAAGGUUUUAUUUAUUCUUUGAGUCAAACUCUCUGUGAUCUUGGAUUUCUCCUGCAGUGGCAACAGUGAUCUCCUUACAGGAGACAGACGAUCUUGAAACAUCUGCAGCCGCUUGUUGGCUUCAUUUAAUUGAUUUCCUAAUGCACGGGUCUUCUCUAAGGAUUGACAAAGUUCAUUUCGUGCAGCCCAAAGUUUUGCAAGUACAUCUGAUGGAGGCGAAAACGCUUUCACCGCCCAUGGCGCUGUCUCUCUUCCUGCACUCUCAGCACCCAUGAUGACUCUUCACUGAAUCACAAGAAUUCGCAGCUUCGAUUUCUUUCUCGCACAGGGCACAUAGUUCUACUAAAAAUCCCCACCAGAAAUCCGCUUUUCUCUCUCCUCCCACACAGCAAUAAUCUCGUCAAAAAUACAAAUUCACAAUUCUUGGACGUCUUCAAUAGAACAACUGCUAAUCCAGCAACACCUCAAAGAUAAUACUCCGAAAGAAUCGCCCUACGAUCUAAUCUGCCUCGAAGAGUCGCAAAUCGUGGAUUGUUUCCAAAUACGUGUUACAAUCUGCUUCUUCGAAGCUCAAGCUUGUCGUCUCUGAGCGAAGAAUAGGCAUGAAUGACUCUUAACCAAAUUGCUCCUGCACACAUUACCCCUGGAAACUAAAAGAAGAUGAUAGCCCUAUGAGCCUAUAUCAGUACGCCGAGCUUCGUGAUAGCACAAAUCCACCGAAUGCAGGUGAACCAAGACCCCUGUUUCAUAAGAAUCGGCGGUGUUCGGAUGUCACAAUGCCACAAGCAAGAACUACAUGUGAGGUCCCAACAGGCUUGCAGACAUUCUGUCUUCCAACGAAUAGGCACCACCUGAAGCCUGAACCUUGCAAUGCAAAGCUCAUUCUGGAAGAGGUGGUUUCGUGAUGCAAGGACAACCAGGAAAGCGAUCGCUAAGAGACAACCGUAAUCCAACUGCCAACUGUAAACCUGCGGACGACCUUCGGCAACAUGUCUCUUCGGCAACUGGACGGCACGGAUAAAUAGUAAUGAAGCCCUAGAUUACGCCAAAGGGACCCGCCAAGAAAUGCCUCGAGAUCGCACACGCGGUGUUUUGCCAGCUUAGUUGGCCAUGAAGUGUUAAGACAAAAGAGCUGCAAGGCAAUCAAGGCUCUAUCGCAACAAAACUGAAACCUCACAACAACAGAUCGACAACGAGUAUCUGUCUUCCUCUGAGUCGGGAAGACAACUUCCUCCCAUUAAAGACGGAUGAGAUCCUAAAGCUCCAGUGCUAAAAGGGGAGGAUAAAGGAAACCUUUCGAGUUUGAAUUGUGCAAUUUAACUUGCCUACAACACAUCCGGGAUUCAACGACCCCAAGAAAGUCGAAACCCCGAAGACGGCGGCAUCCUUUAUGGUAUUUACCACCCCAAGUCCUGGUCUCCACAGGACUCCUCCGAGUCGUUCCCGCGUAAACGACGACCGGAGGAGUAAGUCCAACAACGUGAAGUUUGAACAAGCGGACAAACGGAUGAGGAGCAAGGCUAGAAUAUCCACAGUAAUCCAAGGAAGCAGACUCCGCAGAGCCGCAGAAUUCAAACCUCCACUAAGCGUGCGUAGAAUUCUCCUGCCGGACGUCAGCACAUGAACGGAAGCUACCACAGGCCCCACCAUAGCCCAACCAUCGGCUAAUCUCAUCACCAAACCACGAUGUCGACGCCGAUGCCAUAGCCCCACACCCUGCCAGUAACAGGGGCAAAAACGAAACAGUCCACCACAUGAAACCACGCUCCUGUCCUAAAUAUCCACCACCAUGACAGCCUAACUUCCUGCGCUCCUUGCGCCGACGACAAAAUUCUCAAGCAACCACCGAGUGCACUCCCGGACGCGGAGUUUACACGUGCAAAAGAUUUACGCAGAGGGUUAUUGCGAUUACUUCGAAAACUGGAGCUCCCCUUCUACUGGCCCACUCGCUCUGAGCUCCUGCAGUGACUAUGACGAGUUAUGUCUACCAGCUCCACCACGACAUUGUUACUGAGUCUCACGCUACUGCACCUGUACGAGUUCCCGAGAUUCUGACACUAUUGGUUGGAAUCACGUGUGGUGAUGGCGAUGGCGAAGGCGAUGGUGGUAGGCUUGCAACAGAGAGCCUUGAGGGGAGGGAUCCGUAAAGCAAAGGGGGGGACCCGGUCGACGAAGACGACGACGCUCAGACUGGACGCGGGAUCUCGCGCCGCGCGGUCCAUCGCCCGUUUCGUACGCCGCCGCGUUGGCUUCGUUCGUCCGUUCGUUCGUUGGUCGUCGUCCUUGAGUUUCGUUCGUUCGUCCAUUCGUCUCUGCCGUCCCUAUCCUGACACGGUGGCAGGAUGCCCUCUGACAUGGCAUUUGAUGUGCGCCGCUGUCUUUUGUCAAUAUUGGCCAAACAAAACGGUUUUAGGAUUCUAUAGAAAUAACUCAAGGAUGGUGGCAAAUUUAUUUUAAAAUAGUAAUGUGUGUAGCAAUGCUGCAAUGGUUAUUAAAAAAAACAGUUAACUCAUCGAAACAUGAGAGGCAAAAUAUUGUACCACCUUUUUUUCUUCUUCUUUUGGAUCCAUUUGAUAUUUUUUAUUCAAAUAUGUGGACAAUAUAAUAGAUUUAGUCAAAUUUCACUAAGUAAAAUCAUGUAAAAUAUGUUAUUUUCUUUGAUAUGAUUAUUUUUUGUUUUUCUUUUGUUUGUUUUUUUUUUUUCAAAAAAUUAAAUUAAAUUAAAUGGCAUUGCAAGGGUGAAUCUUGAGUAAGAAUCUAUUAAGCAUGGAUGGGAUUUUAGAGUUGAGAUUCUAACUGCCAACCUUUUCAAAGUUGUGGUUUGUUCUUAGAUCUAACCUUGCCAUCACUUGAUAAUUUGAAAUCAUUUUGAAUCAAGACUAAUAUACUUAUGGUAUAUACUAGUUUUAAAAAAAACACAUCAUAUAUAUGUAUAUACACACAGAAAAAUGUCAUGUAAUUUAUAUUUUUGAAUAAUAAACAAAGAAACAAAUGGUUGGAAUUUAAUGUUGUUGAAUAAUAUAUAUAUAUAUAUAUAUAUAUAUAUAUAUAUAUAUAUUUCUAUUUUAAAUUUUUUAAAGUAAGGCAUCUAAUGCUAGCAUAUAUAUAGAGAGAAAAAAAAAAAGAGAGAAAUGUUAAAAUGACCCACCCAUUUACUAAAUUGAUCCACCCUAUUAAAACCAUCAUUAGAAAAAUGGAUCAUCUCUAGAAGCAUUAUUACAAUCAUGCCCUCAUCUCCACCCCUCUCGCUCCCAAAUCCUACUUCCUUCCCAUUCCCAGCCUUCUUCAUUCCAACCUCUUGUUCCCCUCCCUCUGUUCCCAAUUCUUAUUUUAAUUCCUUCAUUCUCCCAUGCUUCCAAUGAUAGAGUGGAGAAGUUUAGUAAAUACAUGGGUCAUUUUUAAUAUUUCUUUAUAUAUAUAUAUAGAUGAAAUUGAACAUAAUUUAUGUGAAAGUGUAUAUAUAUAUAUAUAUAUAUAUAUUGUUGAAGAUUUUUUUGAAGAAUACAAAAUAUUGCAACAAAAUAUUUCUUAUAUUUGAAUACAUAUAUAUAUAUACAUAAGAAAGAACCUUCUUUUAAAACCUUCUUUUUAAAACCUUCUUUUUAAACCACUACACACAAACACACAUGUGUUUUUAGACUCCAAUAUUAAAAAAUAUUCAUUGAUUUUAAAAAAAAAAUAUUUAAGUAAUUUUGGAGUAUUUUUUUGUAUUAUUAUUUUUCUCUUUUUUACACUAAUUGUAAUAAAUCUUAACACUAAGAGCUUAUUCUUUAAAGAAUAUAAUUUUUUUAUUGUUUUAAAUUUAAUUUUAAUAUUUUUUUACUCAAAAUUAAAAAAAAAAUCAAAGAAAAAUAUGAAGAUUGGAGAUUUUUAUAAUUUUUAUGGUCAAAAAAAUUAUUUUUUGAUCUUCGAAAUUUGUUUCUUAUGCUUUAAAUUCACAAUUCUUGAUUGUUUUAACAUAUCUUAUUUAUUAGAAUUUUGAUUUUAAAAAAUAUUUAAUUUAUUUCGAAUAUAUAUAUUUAUAAAAUUAUUAUAAAUAAUUAAAUUAAAGAAAAUAACUUUAUAUAUUAGUUGAAACUUAUAAGACCAAUUGAAACUAUAAAGUAGGUGCAACUGAUCCAUAAACUUAUAAUUAUAUAUUGUUGGUAUUUGUACAAGAAUAAAUGUAAUAAUCUAAUAUAUUAUUAUCUCAUUUAUGUUCACAAUUUGAACAAGUUGUAUCUUUAGGAUGAUUUUCUAUCUAUAUUAGAUUAUUAUUCACAAAGGAAUUUAUAAUCAAAGUUUUAUGUUUUUUGUGAAAAAACCAUAAACAUGAAGAAAUAUACAAUUAAAAAGUAUGCUUUAAAGGCAAGGAAUGAAUUUAGUUUUGUUUCAUUAGAAUCACCAAUAAAAUACAAUGAUAGUAAUAAUUUAGUAUGAAUUUAUUUGAUCUAGGUCAAAAAUCAAUGUUGGAAAAAUGCACAUAUUAAAAUUGAUACCAAAAAAUGGAAAAGAUAGCUCUUACAAUAGAAUAUAUUUGCACAAGAAUUGAAGUGAAUUAUUUAUUAGUAUAUUAAAGAAAAAAAGAAAAAAAGAAAUAUGAAUUUAGAUUCAAAACUCAAUUUUGAUCACAUUAUAUAAGAUGAAUCUAAUAGUUUGUCCAUUUGCCAUUAGCCCCAAUUACAACUCUAAUACACUUAUGCAUAUUUCCACAUAAUCUCUUGCAUUCAUCAAGAGUAAUUAAAGCCCAACAAUCUCUAAUACAUAUCCAUAAUUUUAUCAUUUUUUUUAAGAAGGAUCUAAUAUUGGUUUAAACAACAUUUGAGAAUUAUCCACAAAUAUUUGAUUGAUUUGAAGUCAAGCUAUUGUGCCGGCCACUUGAGAAGAAAAAAUAAUUGGUAAUUCAACCACAAAGUUACAAAUAUGGGCAUAUGCAAUGGAUUAUUAUUGUAUCGGAUAAUCACAUUUUCAAAAUUUUAAUUGAAUGCAUGCAAUGUAUGAAUCAACUCAUGUUCUAAAAUCUCAUUGUAACAAUGAUGACCUAAUGUUUCCUUGGUUUUGCACAUCAUGGCAAGGCCUUCCAUAACAAUACAAUUCUACAUCAUUACUCAUCUACUUCCAAACUUCACCAUCUCUUGUAUUCUUCUAAUACUCAAAGACUCUCCAUUACCAAUCCAAUAUUAGCUACAACCAUUAGAACAAAAUCGAUUCUUUUUUAUUUUAUUAGAGAACAUAUGUGCUAUAUCAUCAUUUGUCCAAUGUUCAUGAUGGUUAGCAAACUCUAAUCUUCACUUUAUAUGAUAGUGUGUGAACUUUGACUUCUUUUGCUUGAUAUAAUUUCCUUUUCAAAACAAAAUUAAACAUAAUAAUGUGGGCCUACUCUCAUAUAUAUAUAUAUAUAUAUAUAUAUAUUGUCUUAAAGCCAUCAAUAAUGAUUGCUUGCACACAUAAUUUUUGAUUUGCUACACUAAAUACAUGAUCUACCACCAACACUAAAAUUUAUACCAUUUAAUUCACCCAAAUGUUAUUUACAAAGGUGAUAAAACUUUUUAAUAUUUACAAAUAUUAUACAAUCUUUUUAGUACUCACCCUUGCUAGAGCACUAACUUCAAUUUGUUGUCUUUCAACAGAAGAUAUAUCUUUAUGAAGCCAUGAUAUGUGCUACUAGUGUGUGAAUUUAUAUAACUAGAGCAUAUUAUCUUACCCAUGCUCUCAUCCAAGCACAAAUAACCAUUUGUAAAUGAUCAAAUUACAUUGAUUUGCUACAAUCCAAUCCAAGUGUGAGCAAAACUAAGUUUGACAAAUAAGUGAUUUGAUCCCCAUGUUUCCCUCUCCCAUUUGCAUUGUUGGACCUGUACUUUGGUUACCACAUCAUUCACUUAUUUUAUAAGCAAAGUCACUUUCAAAUUUGAUUUUUACAGCAACACAUUAGUCAUAAUUUUUGGUUAAAAUCACGAUUAUUGAUUCCAUAUUCAGUUAUGACUAUCACUAUAUGCAAGUUAAAACAGACGUAUCAAAUGAUAUUCCAACACCAACUUUCUACCACUUGAUAUGGGAAGCACAGGAUAACCGCUCGUUAAUACAAACAGAAACCUGAGCUUGAGAAAUUGGGAAUUAAGGCACUACCCUUCUAGAGAAUAGGUGCACUGUACAGUUGCAGGUGGCUACAAUUGCUCGUCACCAAUCCAUGUUUCCUCUUCAUUUGUUUCGGCCACCUCCAAGUUUUCGUACUUGAUUUGGCCUCUGUUUCUGUACUUGAAAAAAUACCAGUAGACUAAACUUGCAAUAACUGCAAGCAAUACUACUACCCCCACUAAUAUUGCAAUCAUAGCACCCAUCUUAGCCCUAUCUGAAUGUAUCCAAGCCCUGUCAAAACACCACGCAGGGGAUGAUAAAUAAUAAUGCCACAAGAUGAAAAUUUGGAUUGACCCCACUGAAGCUUAGAAACAUAACUGAGUUAUUCUGGAAGCUACAAUAUAAUACGCAAGUCCACAAACUAUAGUGCACCUUAAAGAACUGUAAACAGACUUACCAUUUUGAGGGGGGGAGACCUUUCCAGCUUCUCAAGCGGUACGCACCAAAAAUCUCUGGCAGCUUAACUGUAUGGUCUUCUAACCGCGCUGCUAAUGCCUGCCAAAGUCGAAGGAUUUGUCUGAGAUAUAGAUACUACCAAUAACUGUGGCAAUAGCAACAAGAGCAACCAAUGCAGAAAGAAAAUAUGCACAGAGAAAAUGAACCUUGGCAGCAGAUGAUGAAAAAAGCUGAGAAGAUGCUGGAGAUAUAAUACAUCGCACAACUACGUGUUCUCCAUCUUCUUUAAUGUCUUCUAUGCUUAUCUGCGUAACACUUGAGGCAAAAUAUAAGUAUGAUAAAUAGACAUGAUCUCCUAUAUAAAACAAUGCUAUCAAAGGAUUCUAACAUUAUCCGCUUGGAGGGGACGAUAGCGUAGCACUGGCCACUAUGGCAAUUUCAGGAACAAUUCAGAUAAUCUGUCAUACAGCUGCUAUAGAACCACAAAUUGGAUAAGAGAAAGAGAUAAAAAAAUGGAUUACAACCUGUGACGAAGAAAUCGCAAGUUCAGAAGCCAUGCUUGAUUUAAACAGGAGAGUCUGAUUCAAAAUGGUGGUAAAAUUUCCAUCUAGUUCAAUUAGAAGUUCAAUGCUGCCAAAAUCUUGUUUAUCUGUGAAGAGAAAACAAAUAUGUGGCGAGAUAUGAAACUUAGAAUCCAGAGUGGUAAUCAACGAAUGAUUUAGUAUUUUUAUAAGAUGCUCCUCAUUGACACAAAUGACAAGCAUUGAGAGAAACGGUGCAUGACACAGCCAGACAAGCAUGAAAUUGUAUAAUAAGUUAAAUUCAGGUUCACCACCAUCAGGUAUUCCUCCUAGAGAGCUAAAAUGUCAAUGUACCAAUAUUACGUUUACAACGGUAAAUCUUAUUGACGAAUGUGUUACUUUUUCCGGCCAGAACUACUGUAAAUUGCUUUUUUCACUGUUUCACUACUCGUUCCACCCAGUGAUUCCAGUUCUUAAUCAUUCAUAACUAUCGACUCGCAUUCUCGUUUCGAAUUUAGCAGACUCGAGCAAUGACAUACAAUCAAGUCACUCAGACAAGAAAGCCUAUCCAAUCAUAGACACAUACCCUCUGGCAAGGAUGCCGGUGAUUCGAUAGGACUACUCUCAUUUACCGGAGGUGGUGGCGGUGCCAAUGGAGGUUCAGCAGGUAAAAUGCUCCACAAAUUUGUGCAAUUCGUCUUGAAAAAACCAAUCUGAUGAUUGGCCCUGUCAUACGUAACCAGCGUAUUCCUCACAACAAUCCCUGGAAAAUUCCAAGUUAUCUACUAUAACCAAGACGUUGCUAGUGAGCAUAUCAUUUACAAAGUACUCUUACAAAUAACUAUCAUUCGGAAGUCAGCGAAAACAAACUGUGCUUCCAGUCCAGUGUACGUGGUGGACAAAGUCACGAACAGAGCUGAGGUGGUACUACUUUUGUACUUACGUUUUGAAGGUCAUCAAAUUAUGAAGGACCUUCAUUUCUGUAGUCCACAAAAUUGUAGAGAUUGAUCAUUAUUAUUUCAAAUCAUAGUAUAAUACACAACACACCCAAAAACAAUUACCUCCAAGCAAUGUUGUAGCGUCUUGGUUCUUAAAGAAGCCCAAACAAUAUGCCCCUGGCACUUUGGUAUGCUGUGAUCACAAAAUAAUUUCAGAAAGCAGCAACAUGGAUGAUAAUAUGGAAUAACUGUAGCAAUACACAUAAAGAAUAAUUGUUUCUUUGAAAAUAUAAUUGCAUAAAGGAAGGUGAUCAUGUGAUCCUUAAGAUAAUGUGAAAUCAAAGAAAUAAAAGUUUGUUUUAAGGACAAAAUAAACAGAUAGAGAUUUACAAACUUUAAGUUAAACGACUCACCUUGAAUAGAUAGUUUUCUGGAGCCAAAAAUACUUUCUGGUUUCCCGAAAAUACAAAGUCCACUGGAGGAAAAUGCUUGCCCAGCGCUUUUGAAUCACUAUUGCAUAAACAUUCAUACAAUCAAUGCAGAUUCCUAACUACAAUUGGGAAGAAUAUAUUUUACAUGACACAGAAUCAGCAUCGUGCAGAUUUAAAGGUAGACUAAUCCAUGUUGAAUGUUACAACAUUCAUGCUCCAUGGGAAGGUACAAAGGAGGAACCAUACAUUUUUAAAACAUUAUGUUCACAAUUUGUGUUACAUAAAAAAAACAUGCAAAUUCUAAGUAUCUUGGAAAAGUAGUUAUUUGUGUCCAAGCGAGACAACACUCACCUUCCUGCUCCUGCGAAGCAAACAUCAGGGUAACUUGGAUCAGGACCAGGAACAGCUUGCAAUGACCCAAGUUGUUGAGUAAUCUGCAACCUCAAUGACCAUUUUAAAAUUUACAGUUAGCGUUAAGAAAACCAAACACGACGAUUUGAAUGCUAAAGUCACAGUCGAAUAGACAACUAUUUUAAAUAAUAAAAAAGGCGUAAAUAUGUUAGUUGUGGACGAGCAAAUUGGGAAUACCAGUUGAGUCACAUAGUACCUUGUAAGGUAAUAUAACAGUCUAAACAAAAAAUCUGAAAGAUUAGUCCACUUACAGCAUCUUUGAAAGCAUCAAAAGCUUUAUCUGGAAGAUAGGCGUAUGUUGUCCCACUGUCUAGAACUGUGCCAAGCCUUCCAUUGAAAACUUCACUAGGCACAUUCAAGCUGACUCCUUGCACCUGAAUCUCAGAUAACUCUAGGUUGUAGUAAUUGCUGCAUCCAGAACAUACAAGUCAGCAUUUUUCUGCAUGCCAGGUACAAAACAAUUCCGAUUAUUAAGUCUUUUUCACGCCAACAACAGAGAAAUUUUUAAGACAUAGAGAUAUUUUACGUACUCUGAUGCUCAAAGAAGAAUGAUUUCUCAGGUAAGAGGAGGGGUACAGGGAAUAGGCGUACCUACGAUUAGGAUCUGAUUUAGCAAAUACCAUAGCUGGAGGAGGUGGAAUUGCCCCUAACACCAUGGAACCACCACCCUCGUCCAUGCCACCAUAACAAAGUGAAAAAGAAUCCUCCAUGGCUCCAGUUCCUACAAGCUGGUCCACAAUACUAAGUGGACCACGUCCCAGCCCCAUGAUGCCAUCAGCAUGUUGUAGAUAGAGAUCUCCAGUCUCUGCAGUUUCACAUCCAAAUAAAAGAGGAUGAGGUUGCAGCCGACUGCCAUUGCCAAAACCUAGUAGGUCCUUUCCAAGAACUCCUUUGCUGGAGCUCAUUUCAGCAUAAACCCUCUCGUAUUUGCAUUGGUGAACCCUGGCAUCGCACAUUUUCGUUAUACAAUCUGGUGAAUUACAAGAGACCGUUUGAUACGAGCUUGAAUUGUCGGGCUUAAAUCGGGGGUCCUGUGCCACAUAUAACAAACAGAAGUCACCAAUGGUGUUCAAUAGCCCACCCAUGCGCUGUGUAACAAUAUGAAAUCCUACUGCGUCCCUUGUCUGGUCUCAAAACUGUACGCAGUUUCAUCGUCGUUCUAAUACGCCGUACGUACGACUUUUAGAUAAUUCAAAUACUGUUCAAUUGGGACACAAGUUAGUUAAUUCCACAGCAAGCAAGCAGAGCCUCUUCUGCAUAAUUAGAUAGGGAAGUGACGAAACAUGCCUGGUGAUGGCCACAAUGAGUGCAACUAGAGCAGGGCACGUAUGUAACAGUGCUUCCUGUGUCUACUAUAAGUGCAAACUCCUGCGCAGGUGUCCCAAUGAAAACUCUGCUUGUGUAGUAUCUGUACACAAAACCCACGAGAUAGUUAGAAACUUCCGAAAGAACACAUAUUCCUCUCCAUACUCACGUUGAGACCUCAGCCAUCGCGUACAGCAGAGGCAAAUAGAAACUAAAAUAUGGUGUUUAUGUGGUCAAUCACUGACUUGACAAAAGAUAUCGAUGAAAACAAUACUUAAACCAUAAUUUUUAACAUCUUUAGCCAGAAUUUCACAGCCAAAAGGUCUGAGAACUACCCCUGAGCUUUAAAUUCCAAAAUAAAAACACCCCUCUUGAAUCGAAGAAAUUCCAGAAUAUCCAAACCAUUAAUUCGCUACUUCGUCACUUUCUUCACGUAGAAAAUGAUGCUUUCAGUACAAACUCACAGAGCAUUUUAAGAAAUAAUAAAAAAAAAUCCGAGCUCAUCAUUAAAAAGAAAAAAAAGGUUAUAAAUUUCACCAUCAUUAAUUUUGCUAAAAGUUAUUGGCUUUCAACAAAUUUUCAGUAGGUGUAGCCCUAAGAAUCUACACACAAACCUCAGGUACCAAAAGAACACAAAACUCACAUUAUUGGAACUCCUGACGACAUUAACUUGAUCUCCAACCUAAGUGAUCAGUCCCCAAUCCAAAUGAGCCAUCGAACCAUCGGACUUAUGCAAAAGCAUCUGAACAACAAUACUACUCAGCUCCAGGAGAAUCAAACCCACAGUCAAGGCCUUGAAUGCAGGCCUUUGAAUACAAUAUCUAUCUCUAACAGUGUUAGAAUGACACACGACAAAGCACGGAAAAACUUACGACAAAGCUGGCGCUAAAUCUGCUCAAUUUUACACUUCCUAAACAUUACAGAACAACGAAUUCGAGCUGCAAAAGCGAUCCGUUGAAUCCAGCCCAAAUUUAGCAAAGCGUGACAAGAAUUGAAUUUUUCUCUUCCAAAAGCAAACUAAGCCCAAGAAUCACACAAUGUCCAAAAGCUCGCACCCUUUUGUAAGCAAAUCGUCAUGAAGGACCAUCCUAGCAUCCUCCACGAGGCCUCUCCCUCGCCGCUCAAAACGACGAUCCACGACAUGUCCAUGUCGUUUAGACUCCACGAGGGGAAGCACGAGUGCGGAGCCGCAGUUCGACUGGAUCCUGACCCCAUUCAAUCCAUUCCCAUUCUCAUUUUCACUAGGGUUCACAGAAACACCGAUCACCUCGCGACCUAAUUCACCCACUACCAGAAUGGUCAAAAAACCCACCAAACCCCAAAUAAAGUCACAAUGAAGCCCCAUUUCCCUCUGUCCGAGUCGCUACACGGGCGACACUGAUCCCUCCAAAUCACUCCUCCACUUCCAUUAAUUCUUACGACCUAGGGUUACCUGCUCUCGAGGUCCAAAACCACAAGCAAAAUUGGGGUACCGGUCUCACAGAGCCGCUAAAUUCGUGCAAUUUUUCUAGGACCAGUGCGAGCAGAAGUGAAAACUAAGAUUCAUAAGUUUGUGCAGCGCUUUGAUCAGGCGCAGAGUGGGAUUCCGAGCAUCAGAUCCAGCUCCACGAGACGCGAUCGGCGUCACCGCAAGCUUGCGAGUAAAGAAAACAUCAAUAAAAUACUACCUUCGGGGAGAGGGGAUGAUCUCGCGAGAAUGAAUUUGGACGCGGCAGUUCCUGUCACCGCGUCUAUGAUCCCGUGACCGUCAAAGAUGCGACGCAGAAUUGUCGCCUAGCCAUUGCUAUGCUGUGAGUUCCCCGCCCCCGGAAGCAGUUUCAUUAUCCUACUCCCCCCCCCCCCCCCCAAUUAUUAUUCUUCAAGCAUGUCGAGAGAAAAAUAGCAAAACCUUCAGCCAUGAUCCACAAAUUAAUCCUGAAUGCGUGUCGGAUAAUGAAGAAUAUAUCAUCGCUCCACCGUGACGAUCCUCAAACAUUCACGACCCGAAACGCCAGAAGAACCCAAUUUCGAUACUAAUUGCUUCGAUCCGAAGCGAACAAACAGAGGUGCUGAAGCCAUGUGCUCGAAUAAGAAGAAUGAGUAAUUUAGACGGUGUAAUGAAGAUGUUUUUAUCGGCGUUCUUGAGAUGGGUGAAUAAGUGUAGCUGUGGGAUCAUGCAACAAGCUCCCGGCACCAUAUUUUUAUCGUGCCUUGCAGCCUCUGAUCAUGCUCUAUUUCACCGACACUGGCCACGUUCUGGUGUCAAUAAUAAUAAUUGAGGUCACAGAAUAACAGUGAUACAAUUGUUCGAAAAUAAACCAUGGUUGGAGUGAAGAAGAAUGCUAAACCCUUAUUGUAAGAAAUAACAUUUGUCAUCAACCUUUUUUUUCUUCUUAUUUCUACGUAUCAAUCUCUACUUGUGUCCAUGAGCAAUAAGAACUCAUGUGUCGGUGACGGAAAUAUCAGCAUAAUCUUCACACAGGAACCGAAGCUGAUGACUCAAAAAAGAGUACCCUGAUGGACAUGGAUGAUGCACUUCCUUCUGAAAUGUGAAGUACUGGGCUCACUGAAUCGUACUCGUACCUAAAUUCUGAGAGUAGAUGAGAGUACAACAACAACAGCAACAACAACAAAGAUGGAAAGAUUUUUUUGUCAUGGUUUAGGGUUUAAGAGUGCCAUAAGCUUGUUUGUUGUUAACUGAUGCAGCAGCUAUUGCAAUGCUUUCUCACAUGAAGUGUUCUUCUUCACAAGACUUUGUUUUCAAAGGUGUUUGAGUAUUUGGAUGUUACUUUUACAAUUAGUAGAUUAGCACUUAAUAGAGAGGGUCUUCAAGUUUAAAAGCUGCAACUUUCAAAAUUAGUAAUCGGUUGAAAUUGAGAAUGAGUUUUUUUACUAGUUAAUUUUAUGAGUAGGAAUAUUACCCAAGAUAAAAUAGGAGAAAAACAUAUCAUAAGAUACAAUUCUUGCCUACAUAGUAUUCAUAUUAUUGUAACUUGGAAUUUGUGUUAGAUCCACUUCUUAAGCUAGUUUUAAAAAUAAAUAAAAUAAAAUAAAUAAAAUACUAAAGUUACUAAAUUUAUUUUUAUAUUUAUCAAGUUUUAGUUUUUGGUUUUUUUUUAAUAUUUUUUUAAUAUUGUCACAAUCAAGACAUAAAUCAACAUAUUUAAAAUUAAAUACAAAAAUAAUUUGGUUUAUAUGAUGGUAUCUUUCUACUUUAAACUACCUCUAAAAGCUUUAAAAUAACAAUUCUUUAUGCCAAAUUGACAACCUCUAUAAUGCUUUUGAACCAUGGUCUUUUCAAAGUAGGCUUCUAGAUUCAAAUACUUCUUGAGAAAAUCAAAUUGUACUUCACAACACUAAGUUAUUUAAAUAUUGUCUUAUUUGUUCAAUUAAUAGACAUGUCAUAAGUACUAUAAAUUUUUUAUUUUUGGAACUAUUGAAUUUUGAAAUGGUUGUCAAUGUUACAAAUAUCUUGUAUUGAAUGUAUUAAUAUGUGUACCAAAACAACAUAUCUUUUUGAUGCAUAUUUUUUUGUAUAUAAAAAUAAAACAAAAAAAUGUAUCAUUUGAAUAAUAUGUGUAUAAAGUAUCAAGGACAUGAAUCACAAACAAUGGAAAUGUCAAUACAUUCUUGUGUCACUUGAAAAGAAUAAAUAAUCAUUCAAAGAUAGUAUAAUAUUAAAACUAGAAUGACUAUUACCAAAGAUAAGAAGACUAAAAAAUCUUGAAACAAGAUUUAAAAUAACAAGGUAUUAACAAGAAUGAAGAAGGCUUUACUCUUGCAUAUAUAUAUAUAUAUAUAUAUAUAUAUAAGAGCUACAUAUCAAAGUUUUAUAAGACCUCUAAUAUGUAUCCAACUUGUAAAACACAUGUCUAAUAAGACAAGCUUCCUACAUGUGCACCACAUGGCCAACUUAUAUCACAAGUCACCAAUAUAUGCAAUACAUAGUCAAAUUAUUGGCCAAGUUUUCAAUCUAUCAAUCACAUACAAACACAUAUGAAGUCAAAUCCACAUCUAUGAAGCUUCUAAGAAGUUCAUCUAUUAGAUAUUAUCAAAUUUAUUUAUUUUUAUUUAUUUUGAUGUAAUUUCUUUAAUCUUAAUAACUACAUAUAUUUGUGAUAUUAUUCUUUUUUUUUUUAGAGAAAAGUUCCAUAAGAGGUGGUGAUUACAUAUUGAAGAAGUUCAAGUUGCAACGAACUAUAUUUACUAUAUACUUUGAUCUUUGUUUUCUUUUAAAGUAGUUUGACAUGUUUCUAAAACCAUUGAUAGUAUCUCAUAUUAAAACAAUAAGUCUACCAUGUUAUUUCAUCAUUGCUGACACCUUUGUAACUCCUAUCAAAUGAAAUUAGAAAAUACCAUCAAAUGUGAUUCUUACCUCCAAUGAUAUCACCAAACAUUGGAAAUCUUUCUUAAGGUCGUGAUAUCAAAUACAUUAUAUCUCACCAUUUAGUUAAAAAAAAACAUAUCGUUCUUGAGGAUCUUCAAUUUUGUUAUAUCAUCUUGAAGGUUGUAGCAAUUUCAAUGUAUCAUUUGCUAACUCAACAAACAAUAGUUUUUAAAUUGAAUCUACUAAUUAUUGAUUUUCUAUCAUCUUAGUGCCACAAAUAUACAUAUAUUACAAAUAAAGAUAGAAGAUAGGAUAUAAUUUUUAUCAAACUUUGUUUUCUUUAUAAUAAAGAAUUUCUUAAUUCUUCAUAUUAAUUUUGAAGGAUUUUGUAGAUGAAAAGCAUCAAAAUUCUAUGUUGUAUUUGUAAGAUUCUUGGCUAACUUCUAUGGGCAUUCACUGAUACCAUAUCUAUGCCAAUGCACAAGAUAUUUCAAUUUAUUUUGGCAUUUCCUUGAGUCUAAAACUUCUUUAACGUCAAACUCUUGAUUAUUCUCUACUUCUAUAGGAAGAUGAGGCAUUUGUCUUCUUUUUAAUAUAUCCAUUGUCUUAUUUGGAUGAUGAAAACAAAUAUGGAACAUAGAAUGGAUCUUUAUAGACUCCAAUAGGUAUAAUUAAUAUGCAAUUAGAUUGAUUUGUUCACAAAUAAGAAAUGGUUGAAGUCUAUAGUAAUCCAACUUGUCACAAGGGCAAUAAGUUUUAAUAUUAUGACAAAAUCUUGUCUAUAUUCAAUAUCUUGAAAAGAAUUAUUCAAAAUAUACAACAAAUAUGCAACAAAUAUGUAAUAAAUAUGCCAAUGUGUUAUUUAGGUUGUUCUUUAUAAUAGACAUUUGAAAUGAUCUUUUGUUGUUAUUGAACUUUACUUAAUUAUGACUUUAUUAUUGCAUGAAGCUUUAAAUAAAAAAUUAUCAAUUUUUUUGAUAUAUAAUUAUUGAUUUUUUAAGUCAAAAAUAUAAAAUUGUGAAUGAUAAUCAUAAUUAGAAUAAAAAUGUAUAUAUUGAGUAGAAGAAUGUAUUGCAUUAUUAUAGGCAAAUUUUGUUAGUAACAAAAGAAUUUUUCAAUCAUCUUAAUGGUAGUUGAUGGUACAUUUUAAAUAUUGUUCCAAAACUUAAUGCACUUGUUUUAUUUGUUUGCUAAUUUGAGGAUAGAAAGCCAAUAAUAGUUUUAUGUCUAUGUUUAACAUCUUAGAAAGAAUUCUCCAAAACCUUAAUACAAAUUAUAUUCAUUUAUUUGAUAUAAUAUUCCUUGAUAAUCCAUGAUAGCAAUAAAUGUUAUUGAAGAAAAUGUUAGUUGUUUCUUUACUUAUUAUUGUUUAUAUAAAUGGUAUAAAAUGUGACAUUUUAGUGAAAUGAUUUGUUAUUAUAAAUAUAGAGUUAUAUGAGCUUAAGAUUAAGAGAUCCAUGAUAAAACCUAAAGCAAUAGAAGAGCAUAGUUGUUAUAGUAUUGGUAAUGAAUGAAGAAGUUUAUAAGGUAAAUAAUAAGGAAUUUUCAAUCUUAAACAAAUAUUACAUAAUUAUACAAAGUCUUUAAUUACCCUCUACAUUUGAGGCCACUAAAUUUUUUUGAUAUUAACUCCAAGUUCUUAUCAUAUACAAAAUGUCUUGCAGUUGGAAAAAUGUGACAAGAUUGAAGAGCACAUAGUCGUACUUCACCUUCUAAAAUAUAUAAGUGUCUUUCAAAAUAGAGUUGAAUAUUUUUAAACUCAAACUUAGAAAUAUCAUGAAAUUUAGAAGGAUUAUUCUUAAUAUCAUGAACUAGAGGCUCUAAGAACAUAUUUGAUUUAACUUUCUUAAGAAAAGUUGAAUCAAUAGUGAAUAAUGAUUUUAAAAUUUAAAGAAGAAAAUUUUUUAGUUUCAAAAGAAUCAUUUGUUGUAAAUCAAAAGUUUUGUUUUUUAUUUUUUUUUUGUACAAGAUAAAGACAUCUAAAAAAAAAAUGUGACAAAGCUUGUUGUUUUCUUUGUCAAAAAGUCAUCUCAAAUUCAAAUCUUAACAAGGAAAUGUUGCAAUGGUCUUAGCAAUGAUUUAAAACACAUGCUAACAUGAAAUAUUUAAGGUUCUUGAGAUCUAUAUAUAAGGUGACUAGACUAAAAGUGUUUUCUAUACUAAAGUGCCAUUCUUGAAAUGAAUCCACAAUUACAAGAAGUUUUUUGUAAUAGAUAUUGGUUGCUAAAAAUUUUCUUGAAUAAAAAGCUAUUAGAUGAAUUUUAUCAUUUACUCUUGUUUGUAACAAUACGGCAUCUAAAAUAAAAUAUAAUUUAGAUAAGUAUUAAGUCUAAAUAAGUCAUAUUGUUUCUAAUAUUGUAUUAGAAAAAAUAAAAAUAAAUUAUAUUUUUAGAUAGUAAGGCUAAUAUUUUUUAAUUUUGUUAUUCUAUGAUACAACUCCUCUAACUAACUAACUAACUAACUAAAAUAAAUAAAUAAAUCUUAAAACCUUAACAUACAUUUCUAACAUAAUCUUAUGAUUUUUUAAAAUUUUUUUUCAUAAAAAUAUAAAUUUUAAUAAAAAAAAUGAACUUGUUUAUAUUUAUUUUAACACAAAAUUAUACAUAUUUUUAAAAUAAUUUUAUUUAAUAAAAAAAUCACCAUUUCAUAUACAAAAUAAUAUAAUUUUAUAUUAAAAUCUUUAAAUUUCUACUUUAUUAUUUAUAUCAUCUAAAAUUUAGCUUCACUCAAUCUAAGGAUUUAAAAUUAUAUAUAUAUAUAUAUAUAUAUAUAUAAUUACAUUAUUUAAGUAUUUUUAUAAUAAUUUAUUAUAAGACAUUCAUGUCUAAGUUUUUAUUAUGUAAGAUUAGGAUCCUAUAAAUAGUAGUUUGUAUUCUAUUUAUAGGAUCCUAAUCUUACAUAAUAGAACCAUAAAGGUUUGAAAUAUACCUUUAAAAAAAUAAUAAAUAAAAAAAAUUGCAAAUUCAAAAAGCAAAUAUAUUGCUACAAGAUGCUAAGAUGCCAAUUAAAUUCUAAGACGCUUAAGGAUUUAACUGGCAACUUCCUUUCAUGCAUGCCCAAAUAUUAGAUUUUGCAAUGACCCAAUUGUUUAAGAGAUUGAAUAGCAUCGAAUAAUACUGCCAAGUUCUUCACAAGGUUUGUUUUUGUUAAGAUUUCAUGUUCUCUUUUGAGGAAACAUGACACUCAGAUCUAGAUUCUCAACCCCGUUUUGCUGGAAGGCGAGCUAUGCUUCCAGUUUCUAGUCUGAACGACAAAGAGGACCUGAAUGAUGUGUGUGUGUGUUUUUAUUUUUAUAUUUAUUUUUUGGUUUUCUCCCACGGACAUGAAUUCACGAGGAAAGGCAGAAGCGGAUUGAGCUGGGGCCUCAAGACUGGGUUCCUCUUCGUCUCCGAAAUCUGGUUUCCACAAAGAGAGAAUGUGUCACAUCUAUUAUUCACUUGCUAUGAUUCUAUGAAGUUAGUACUCCAGGCACAAGUUGUGGGAACCACGCUGCGAACUACACUUCGAUGAUCUCACAACCCAGUUAUUAGAAGUGCCUCGAAACAAAUAAAUUGGUCUCUGGAAUGAACUCUUUUUCGUCGCAGGGGGGGUCAGUGUUCAAGCAAUUCCUCCAAUGUACCUGAGCAGACUUGAAUCACUUCUCUUGACUGUGCUUUUGUUUGUUCAUGCUCCCAAUGGUGUUUCUUUUUUUUCUUCUAGUUAUUUAUUUAUUUAUUUAUUUUUGUCUUUAUAAAAUUUUAUUUCUGCUUGGAACACUUACCGUGUAUUCGUGGUUGACAACUUGAGAAAUCGACCACUAUACUUCCAUCAAGAAACCAAUGAAUUUAAAAGCUUUUGAGUCUUAAAGAUACGAUGAUUUAUAAUUUUUUAAUAUAUCUCAUUUUAAAUUUAAAUUAUUAAUACUUUAUAAUAAAACUGAGAGAUUUUAAUUACUAUUUUUAAUAAUAUGUUUAUUGAUUUCUUUAUUUAUUUUAAUUUUAAAAUAGAAUUAUAAUUUUAUUUAGAGUUAUAAUAUAUUUUUUGAAAAUAUAGGUUGGUAAAUUUUUUUAAUUAAUUUUUUAAAUAGGAAUUUCGAAGAAAAAUUUAUAAUUUUAUAAUGUGAUGUACAAAAUAUUUUUUAUAUAAUGGAGUUGUUCUUUGAUGUUUUGAAUGUGCAUGAAAGAAGUGCAAUUUUUAUCUAUAUAAAAUGUAUUUUUACAUUGCAAAUGUAAGGAAGAGGAUAUAACUUAUCAAAUUUUUUUUUUUUAUUAAAAAUGUUAAUAUAGAAGGCUAAUAAGAUUAGACCCUUCUACUGUAAGACAUUAAGAACUUUGUCCUACAUUUUGUAAUAUAGAACACAACUUAACUUGUCCUACAUGUUCUAUAUUAAGUCUCAUAUAAGACACAAUAAAUUUGAAUGUAAAUAGAGGUAUAUAAGAGGGAUAGUUUUGCAUUUAAAGCUCAAUAACUAUGUUUUGUUGUCUUUAAAAUGCCAUUCUAUGACUAUCAAUUUAAAAGAUAUUUUCUCAUUCUCUUAAUAUAAAACAAGUUUUUUGUUGAUUUAUAAGCAAUUUUCUACAUCAGAAGACUAUGUCCUCAAUUACAAGGGCUUUCUAAUAAUUGUCAUGAAUAUUUUAUUUUUAUUUUUAUUUUUUAAAAUUAAAUUUUAAAAUAUUUUUUUAAUUCAAUUUAUUACAUAUUAUUAAUCUAUCAUAAAAUAUAAGCCAAUAAUAUAUAUAUGCAUAUAAAACAUGUUGUCAAUAUAAUUUUUCAAAUUAUAGUAUAAUUUCAUAGAUUUUUUACUAAAAUUAUCAAUAUAUAGUAAAAUUAAAAAAUAAUUUUUUUCAAAUAAAAAAUAAAAUAAAUUUGUCCUUAAUUUUUUAUGUCAUUUUUUAUAGUAAAUAAUAUCCAAAUUGUAUUUUUACGUUUGAACUUGUAUAUACAAAGUAAAUUAAUAUAAAAUAUCUAAUUAUUUAUUUUCUAUUUUUUAUAAAUUCUUUUGCUUAAGCAAUAUUUAUUUUGAGUGAAUAAAAUUAUUUAUAUUUUUUUACAGAGAAAUGUUAUUUUACUUAUAAUUAUACAUAAAUAAAUGUAAUAUGUAAGAAACAACAUAAUUAUAAGAAAUAUUUGUUAUUGCUUAAGUAUGUACGAUAUUGCUAUGAUUAUAGUAUUAUAUUUUUUUAUAAUACUAAAUAUUAUAUAUAUAAACCCCAAACCAUGUGAUGAUUAAUUUUGGAGGAUAAGGAACAAGAGAUGAGAUAGGGAACAAGGCAUAGGGGUUAAGCACAAAGAACAUGGGACAUAGAACAAGAAACAAAGGCAAGGAUAGAUAGAAUCAAUUAUGAGAUGGUAAUGUGGGGUGCAGCUUUGACAACUCCCUAUAUAUAUAUAUAUCAUUGAUUAAAUAAAUAUUAUACAAACAAUAUUGUUUGAGAAGCAUAAUUAGUAUUGAAAUAAUCAAAAGAAAUAAAUGAUACUACUUUUUAAAAUAUUUUUGUAAAAAAUGAUAAGAAUAUGUUUAUUACCCUUUUUCAUAAUUUAAAAUAAAAUUAAUAAUGAUAUAAUCUUUUGACUAAUAAAUUUAGAUGUUGCCAUCACUUGUAUAUUGAAGAUGUAACGUUACCAAACAUAUGUACUAUAAUUGUUUUACAUGUAAAUGUUUUCUAUUAAAAAUCCAAUAACUAAUUUAUUGAAAUUUUAUUACCUCAUUAGUUACAAAUCAGAUAAUAAAUAACACACAUAAAUCAUAAGAUGCAUAAGAUUUAACAUAAACUAAUAAAAAGUCAUACUUUAUAGAUUUACAUUAUGAUUUUGUACAACAUAACAAUUAUUAUAUAAGAUUUCCAUAAAAUAUAUUUUUAAUUUUUCCUUAUCCUCAAACAUUAUUUUAGUCUCUUCUACAAUCGUUUAACUCUACUAACUUCAUACAAUGUUUUUUUCAUUCGGAAGUCAAUCACAUUUCGAUGACCUAAUUAUUCACACCCUAACAAUAUACAAGUUACAUUGCAACUUAAAAAUGCAUUGAAACCACUCCCAACACUUUUGUCACUUGCUAUUCACAUUAGUUUGUUCUAUUUUGUGAAGAAAAUUUUGAACAUGAACACCAAAAUCAACGUGUUUUCAAAAGAAUAGAAAUGACAACUAAAGUAGACCUCGACAAAUACCUCAAGAUAUAAGAAUGCUGUUGGAGAAAAUCGAAGUUUCGACCAACAGCGAAGACUUCGUUGCGAAAAACUCUUGCGAGUGGUCGCCCCUGACAUUGUUUGAAGGAGACAGCGUGAGUAUAUAUAUACAUACCAGCCAACGCUUGAAAAUUCUCAAUUCGUCUACGGUUUCCUCAUGGAAUGCUACAGAUGAAGACAGCAUUGAUGAGUCUCUUCAUUUGAAGGGCUCCACGAAUGACACACAGAUCUACCGAAAGUUACCCUUCUUUCUCACACCGGGAAUUAGAACGAGAUACCUCGUCGAAUUCCUACAGCAACACGACUCUCACAAUCGCCACCGUACGAUUAUGCGUGUACACUUUCACCAUCAUUGACGCGACCAGCGGAUGAGGCUAAUGCAUCGACACGCGAGCAAGUCCAAAGCUCCGAGUUCCAACACCCUUUGCGAAACAGAGAACUUGAGGUCCAAACAGGGUGGCUCUCCCUCAUGUGGGUUCACUGCACCGCUGUAUAUUCAUCCAAUUCGCCGCAACCCAAAACAGUGUGGGCACCCUCACGCAGAGAGACCGCAACUUAUGUGUGAAUUGAUCGCUCACUCUCGCUUAAUUGGCCGCGGCCGGCACUCACGCCACAGAGCUCAAAAACAGGGGAGAUACCGACAGGGCGCACACAUUCAAAGGCGUCCACAGUUUUGCAGCGCAGAUGUGGCGACAGGGUCGGACAAGUGUGAUAAUGCGGAGACAACGAGGACACGGAGAAGGGAGGAGGCAAGGUCAGGGCGACAGGGCGAGGGCAACAUGCAGAGGCGUGGGAGAGGAGCCAGCCACGUGGGGAAAGCGGGCGGGGGGCAGCGAGAACUGCAAGUGGACAAGAGAGAGAUUUGUAUAUUAUAAUAACUGGGGGAAUUGACGGGCAGAGGGCAGGAAAUUACUUUCCUGCCCGCCGCCUGGUGCUGAGUGGGGAUUGAACGCGACUCUGAGGAUGGCAGGAUACUAUGGAACGGGGAUGGCGUCAGCGUCGGACGUCCAACGCCGCAGCCGCGCGUCAGAAGCAUUCACAUGGCUCGAUCCCCAGCCACAAAUUCUCUUGGGCGUCAUUCAUAGGCCAGCAACUCCCCCCCCCCUCUCUCGCUCUCUCUUCAUGGCUCUAGAUAUGGUCAUUUUUAUACCUCAUGCAUGCAUGCAUAUAUAUAUAUAUAUAUAUAUCUCUAAUUUAAAUAUUAAUUUGGAUUUUAAGGGGGGUUUUGUGUAUUUUAUUGCUUUAUUAUUUUUCUUACAAAUAAAAAGGAUAGAAGUAUAUAUUAAUCUGAGUUGAAUAAUUAAAUGGUGUCAUUUGUUCUUUAUGAUAUACCCAAGCACUAAUUCCAUUGUAUAUGUUACUCAUAGGGAGGAUGUAUAUGUUGCUCUCUUUCAUUUUAUAUAUAAUUUUUAUUUGUUUGUUUUUUAGAAACCAAAAGUCAUGUGCAUGCAAGAAACAAUCCAUUUGCAUUUGGUCAAGGUCAUAAUGAUUGAAUCAUUCCUAUUGUUCACUGCAUCAUGGACAAGAAUGAAUUUAGCAUGACAUGGUCUUUUCAUUUGUUUUUUUAGGUGUGCAUUUAUGCUGAUUAUUACAUUUUCUAUUUUUCUAUUUGUUACAAAGUAAAGUAUUGCCAAUUUCAUACAUCCCCACAUGCUUUGUUCAACAGUUGCAAUCAUUUGCUCACAACUGGGAAAAAUAAAUGUAUCUUUGUAAAAAGAAACAUUGAGCCAACAUUAAAAGCAUUCUAGUGUGUUUUGUAUCCAAACACAGUGCAAGAACUAUGGAGAUUUUUUUUUUAUUGCUAGCAAUAAUGAUCCAGAACAAAAAUGCCUCAACAAAUGUCACAUUACUGAACGCAAAAUGGAAAAUGUGUAUAUCUAUGGGAAUAUUAAAUAGACCCACCUUUAAUGAAGAAUAUGGUAAUCAUGAUGAAUGUGAUUGGUUGCAGAUCCAAUAGUAGAGAAACGAAUCUAGAAGUGUAUAUAUAUAUAUAUAUAUAUGUUCCUUUUUUCUUAAUAUGAUGGUUUGGAUGAGUGGAUAAAUUUAGUAUAAAUUUAGUAGAAAACUUGGGUCUAUUUGACAUUCUCCAGAUAAAUAUAUAUAUAUAUAUAUAUAAGAAAAUAGUAAGAUUCUUUAUCAACCUUGGUCUUACCAAACCAAGAUUUUUACGCUCCCAAGGUAUCAAGUUUCACACUAUCAAGUUAACUCACUAGCAUGUUAACUCACUACCCAAAAUUCCAUUGGGAGCACCAACUCAAGUUUGAAUUACUCACUAGUGUUUAAGGAAAUAUCAAAAUCUGUUCUAUAAGUUUAUACCUAUUGAAUAUCUACAUUUAUUUUUUUAUCUUUGAAAAAAAAGAAAAAAAGAAAAAGAGACUUUAUCUUGAUAUUUCAGCAAAACAUGUAGUUGUAAAAAUGUAACGGUGUAAAGUGGCAACCUCAAAAGAACAAAGAAUGAUCUUUAGUAAGUGACAACAAUGCUUUUUUUAUGCUGUGGACAAGUGCAUAGCACUAUUCGUAUGAAAAUCAGAAAGCUCAUUUCUAAAAUCUAGCUUAAAUCAUUUAAAAUAUUAUAUCACUAAUGCAUUAUCCCCUCCCCCCUUCAUGUUUGAAUAUCUUUUCCUUCCAAGGUUGUAAUAUUUCAUUAAAAUUGUAUGCAAUAAGAUCCAUCUGGAAUAUAAACUGGAAAAAACAGAGUUUCAGUUAUGAACCAGUUGAUGUUUUUAGUUUUUUAUUUUUAUUUUUAUUUUAAAUUCAACUUAAAUGGAAUUUCUUGUAGGAUAUUUAAAAUUUACAAAAAAUGCUUUAGUAAUCAAUAUGGUUUAUUGAUAUCGCCUAUUAUUAUUAUUAUUAUUAUUAUUUCAUGUUUUUUGCUGGAUGUCACCGUAUGCCUAAAGAACUCAAUGCCACCCACAUUGACUGUAUGUUUUUGGAUUAAAUUCCAGUUUUCAUUACGAACAGAUCAUAUUUAGCUUAAAAAUAAGCCGAAUUCACCUUAUAACCUAAUCUAUCUAAAAUCAAACAAACACAAGAACUUUAUCCACGGUUAGUGCCCGAGACUCUAGUUUUCAUCCACAUUUCAUCCAGAACAAACAUAAUGCAGCUUGGAUGAAUGUCAUUGGCAAGAGAAUCGUGAACUUAAAAAGUUGAAGAGGGAAUGGGGGAUGAAAGGCUGGAAUGCAUGGUCCGCUUGAACUGCAGGUGUGCACCAGAGACACGAACGGGGCAGCGGGCAGCAGAGAAGACGGAGAAAAGUGGAAAGGAAGAGAAGAGAGAGAAGAGGGGAUUUCUCUCUCUGUCUGUCUUCCCUGGCAGAGCAGAGCUCCUUCUUCAGGGCUUUACCCGGGCAGGAAAAGAUGGCUGAAAUCCAUUGGAAGCUCCCCAUUGGCUCCGAACCUCCGAGCCUCACCAAGCCUAACUCCGAACUACCACCCUGGGCGGAGGAAGGGCGGGGCUGAAGCAGAGAGUGAGAGAUAUUUCCGAACCCACUCGUGGCCAGAAUCCAUCCCCCCGAUCGUUCGAGUGGUGGCUCAGCGCCAAACGCCUCUGUCCAGUCCCUUUCUUCGCUCGCGUCCACACCUCGUCCCCUUCUCGUCCUUCCUCCGUCGCCUAUAUUGACGAUCUCCGCCUGAACUUCGUCGUGUUCGUCGUGUUCGUCUUCCCCCACCUUCUCCCCCGCCCCCGUUGUCACUCGUAACGCCUCCGGAACUCACACAUUUCCUGACAGCGCGCUACAAUUAUCCUGGCCACAUCUUGGUUGCUACGACAAGGAUCGUCGGAGUCGCCACACCAACAAGCGGUUCAUGUUUGUAGGGCUGCAGUUUAUUUAUUUUUUGGUUUACGUCAGUGAAGAAACUGCUUGCGCGUUGUCGUUUUCGUCUCUAUAAAAGGGAGUCGGGUUUGCUGUUGGAAAAGAAAAAACGAAAGAAAAACAAACACAAAACUCACGGUCGCUAGCGUUGGUUGAGAGAUCAGCGUGUAGAGUCGUUGUAGUUUUUUUUUUUUUUUUUUUUUUUUUUUUUUUUUUUCGAGUUAGAUCGCAGGAAAUGUGGGUGGUGUAGUGGGUGUUGAAGUUUGUGGGAGUUUCGGUUGAGUGGCGGUGGUUUUCUUUUCUGGAGGGUAUUUGAGAGCUGUUGGUUUGGUACUUUGAGGAGGUUGGGAUCAUUUCGUGGUUUUGACUGAAAAUUAAGCGCUUUUGCAUUUGGAGUGGUGGAAAAUUGCUCCACCGGACCAGAGUUGUGGUCAGGAGUCACAUUGUGAAAUGGUAGUAUAUACCUCUUGUUUGUUUUGUUUUAUUAUUUUUUCUCCCACAGUGUUGUUGAUCGAUACUAUGUCCUGACGAUUGUCCAACGCCAGGUUAAGUAUCGUUUUGUGGUCAAGAACGAGUUGGUGUGAGUGGAGACGAUUUCGUAAUCCCGUCAUAGGGCAGUGAAGCGUUUUAUUUGGUAGGGUUUUUCUUUGUUGUAGCGAACACGCUCUGAAUGGACAAGAAAAAAGUGGUGGAAGGUGGCGGAUGAGGAGACUCUCUACUUAGGCCGUGGUUUCCUACUAUCGGCAAGGGGCUGUUCUUUUAUCCUCUGUUUAUAUUAUAUUACACUUUUUAUUUUACAAGUUUAGCCUCCGUGGUAUUUGCGGCGAUUGUUUGCUUCGCGAACUUUCGGUUUGUAGUGGCAGAAGAGAGUGCAACAAAUCGAGCACGUGAGUGAAAUACUGCUGAGAAAUGGCGAAGUCCAACAGAGUAUGCGAGUUGUGUGACGGCGUAGCGGAUUUAUAUUGUGCUGCUGACGAAGCUCACAUUUGCUGGACUUGCGAUGCUAAAGUUCACAGCGCCAACUUCUUAGUGGCCAGACACACUCGGUUGGUUCUGUGUGAAAUUUGUGGAAUACAAACUCCAUGGAAAGCCUCAGGGGGGAAUCCUACGCCACUCACAGGCCUUUGCGCAGAGUGUUCUCAGGGGGAAUCGCAGGAUGAAUGCACUACUCACAGCCAUGGAGGUGUAAUUGACACUUCGAGAGUCACUGUUAGAGCUCAUCCUAUUGCAGGCUGCGCAGACUCGGGUUAUGAAAGCGGGUGUUCAUCUAGCAAACCAGAGAGCUGUGAGAGUGCCGUGAUAGUGGAAAUGGAUUUGGUGCAGACUUCGCCCUGCGAAAGUAGUAUUUCUCAACUUAGCAGUGAAGACAUGGAAGGCAUUACUGUAGACAGCAGGGGUGCUCAAGGGAGUGUAUCCUUAGGUAUCCCAAAGUCGCUUAAGAGGAAGAGGUCGCUGGAUUGCUUCUUGCCUGUGUCUGUUCCACUAAGCAAGCAGAUUGUGGUGAGUACGCUGGAAGAUGAUAUGAGAAGCGUUGCGCAUGGACAGGUAACUUCUACUUCAAGUCUUUCCCACUAAUCAUAGCUUGACCAUAUCCAGAUAACAGAGAUGGAAGUGUACGAUUUCACCCCUACUGAGUUUAUCCGCUGCCUACCCAAAAAUCCUAAAACCAUGUUUAUGUUUGUGUUAGCUUCUGUGCUCUGAUUUUUGGUUGAAACUCGUAACAAACUUGACAAAUCGUGAGUGAAAGCAGUUGAAAACCUUUUAUUGCAGUUUUUGUAAUUAAAUAUUUUGCCGACAAGUUUCUCGUGUGAGCAAGGUCAAUGUCCUGAAAGUCCUUUUGUUGUCUUUUCAGUGUGAGUGUGAUAGCACUGCCUCUUUUUCUUCAAGUACGCGAAGAGUUUCUCAUGCCAACCAGGAUCCCAGUUUUGAAGCAAGGGAUUGGAAUAGACCCCAAUCCCAAGAAGUUGAGUCUAGUAACAGAGAUCUCACCAAUCUCUUACUUUCAUCAGCCAAGCGACAGCGGGUGGACAGAACACAGAUAAGGGCAUCUUUCACCCGCACGCAACAGUCGGCAGUUUUCUCGACAUCCAGGGUGAUGAGAAUGUUGGCAAAAUGGCACUGGGAUUUGCAUCUAAGCAGCCCUGGAACUGUCCCUCUUGCGUUGCGCAUGUUUCGCAAGAUAUCCCGCGCAAUGGCUCCAACCGUCCUCUCAAACUCAGGCAUGCGUAUCACCCUGGCAGCUUGCCUCCAUUUAGCCUCGAGUUUAGAUGAAGCCCAAAUUACUGUCCCCAGAACAAGCGAAGUUGCAGGUUGCGCUGGAGUGUCUACGAGAAAAUUGGCUACAGCGGAAAUUCAUCUGCUGGCGCUUCUAGGAUGGAGAAGUUUUCCAGUACGGGCCGGCUCCCGUACGUAAAUUGCAGAGACGUUCGGAAUAUAAACUGCAUAGUCUUAUACACUUUUGAUUGGCAUCUUCAGUACAUGUCUGAAGCUGUAGCGUCUGUAAAGCCUUGGUUUGAAUUCCCUGUGAGGGCUGUAGUUUGAGUGCAAAGAUAGGGAUCUUGUCACCCCAGCUCCUGCAACCAUGAAAGUACAAGACGCAAGAUACAAACUUCUUGUCUUGCAGGAGGAUUUAACAUAGAAAUCGGUUGUCAGGUAACGGUACUCGUUAUCCAGGGAGGUUUGCCAUCGAAAGCUCUUCUAUAUCCUAGGGAUUCCCGGUUAAAUAUGCAGGUGUAGAAUAAAUCUGAAUUGUGCACUGCUCAUGGUUGAAGGUUCGUCGAUAUGAGAAUUGGUUCUGGUUUCAAACUGGGGGCGUUACCAGACAGGCAGGGUAGAUAUGGUACGUCCAUAAGAAGUUAGUGUACAUAAGUGGCAUAUAACAUCCGAAGGGUUCACUUUUUCAACAGUGUAACCGCCUUUUCUAGCAUAGGUGGAAUACUCGACAGUUUUCUUUAGCUCCUGGUGGUCGAUCUAACUUGCUUCAUGGCAUUCACUCAUUUCCAAACUUGAGGUUGAUUGUUUGUCGCUGGACGUGUGUGCCCACUUUGUUCGUCGUUGCAAGUCAAGUGUCUACUCUCCAUCGCAACACUCUUUCUCUGACCCAGGUAAUUCAACUCUUCAGCAUUUGCCGCUGAAUACACCACCAUUAUCUCAUACUCUUCACUGUACUGCGGACAGACGAGUCCGUCUCAGUUAAGCAGAUCAUAUGUGUGGCUUACAACAACUUUGUUGCUCUAUACAUUAUGCUGAUCCUGCAAAGUAUUUUGCUGAGGUUGCUGGAGAUAGCUAUUGUUCGACUUCAUGGUAGCAUCUCAUCUUGAGAAUUCAAGAGAAAGUCUGGAUCCAAGUGCUGUGAUUAUCAAUCUAGGUGAACUAUCAAAAUUGGAGGUGAGAAACUGGAGUGUCAAGCUCAUGCAAUGUCACACCCUCUGCAUGUGCACUAAUGGGGGAGGACAUCUCCCCUUUCCUUGUCAGAAUCCGCCUUCAAACUGCAGUAGAACUGGGCAAUUAUGCAGUGUGGGUAAAGAGGUCUUUACAGCAGGCAUCUCAGACAACAUUAUUGUAGAACAAAAGAUCUUUUGUACGAAACUCAAAUAUCUCCCAGCAAUGCAAGACUUCUAAAUAUCCUAGCUAAUCCCUCUUUAAUCAUUUAUAUAUAUACAUAUACUGAAACAAAAGUUACUCAUCCUAUGCUGUAAUUUUUUUUGUCAAAAGUAAUAUUGUAUAUACUUGUAAUUACUAUACAUGUAUACUCAUUCCAGAUUAGUUAAUUGUUUUCAUUUGGAACCUCAAAACAAUAAACAAUUUAGUUAACUUUAAUUUGAUGUUUUAACAAAAAAAAAAAAAAAAUAUAUAUAUAUAUAUAUAUAUAUAUAGGAGAAUGUUAAAUAGACCCAAGUUUUUACUAAAUUGACCUACCAUCAUAUAAAAAAAUAAUGACAUCUAUAUUCAUUUCCCUGCUAUUGGAUAUACAACCGAUAAAAACCAACCACAUUCAUCAUGAUUACCAUAUUCUGUCAAAAGUGAGUCUAUUUUGUAAAAAUAUGGGUCUAUUCAACAUUCCCUUCUAUAUAUGUAUAUAUUACUACUACCACACCUUUAAUACUGUGCUACUUUUCAAAACCCUAAACCUUUUAUUACCCUAAAGCAAAUCACAUUGAGGUUCUACCAUGAGAAUUUUUUUUGUCUCCACGACUAACCAUGUUAACUUGUGGCCCCAGCGGGCUCAAAGCAAAGAACACGAAUUUCAAAAAUUCAGAUUUAGAUAUUUAAAUUCAAAAAUCGGCACGGAGACGGGAAUUACAAAGACGGGCCAGACCCAAGGCGGGGCAAAAAUCACACGAUAAGUGUAGGAAAAUUUUGUUAUAUACGGAGCCGCGGAGCUUUGUUUAGUAGCAUUUCUGUAGCCCACUCGCUCGGAGCUGGUCACGGACCUCAACUCUCUGGAGCCUCUCUGCGCUCUGUGUGUGUUCCUCUCGAGGCGCACGGGGAUUGAGCGAGGAAUCGCUAAUCCUUGGCUACAGUGAUGACUUGUUUCCCGAUCUUCGAGCCGAUCAUCAUCCUGCAGAAUGCGUUGGGAGCGUUGUCCAAGCCCUCGGCGAAGUCUUCGAAGUACACCAGCUUGUCAGCCUUAAUGAGCUUCGACAUGUGGUCCAUGAACUUGGGCUCUAAGUGAAGGUAAUCCGACUGCAGAAACCCUUGUAGCGUUACCCGUUUGUUGAUUAUCCUCUUGAGAUUGUAGACGCCGUCCUGUCCGCCUUGAUCGUACUGCGAGAUCAAUCCGCAUACUGCUACCCGCCCGAAAUUGUUCAUGUUGUCAAGGACCGCAUCUAACGUCUUGCCCCCCACAUUCUCGAAGUACUUGUCGACGCCUUGAGGACAGUACCUGCAUCAUCGCACAACAAACGUGUAUGUAGGAAUGAGAGGGUUUCCAAGACAGACGACACUGUUUGUACGGAGGCAGUUAUUUAUAGUGCUGUUGCAAAGGGUGUCAGGGUAGUACUUUGCUACAGCAGCAACGAGAUCCGGUUCCUCUUUAUAGUUGAAUGCGGCAUUGUAUCCGAGCUUGUUCGUGAGCAAGUCAAUCUGAAACGGAUUUGCCAAGGGUUAGCUCAUUCAGCUUAUGACAGUCUUGGUCUUCAAUGCCCAAGUGUGCCUACCAAUAUGCAUUCUAGAACAGACCCGAAAGUAACCCUGACUACAGUGGCAGUUCAAAAGGGUUGUCCUCGAUGAUUGCAUCACCUUUUCCUGUGAUCCUGCGCUGCCAACCACGUACAAGCCCGCGUCUCUGGCGAGUUGUCCCACCAGUUGACCCACUGCUCCCGAUGCUGCAGAUACGAAGAGUGUCUCUCCCUUUUUGGGCUUCAACACUUCAAAGAACCCAACGUAAGCUGUAAAGCCAGCCAUCCCUGGAACAUCAGCAAACGCUCACCAUGAAUACCCCUCAUAGAUUGUAAAUUAGUACACACAAUUUCUUACACAAAUUCAUUUCCAAGAAUUGUGAUGAGGUGAGGAAGCAGAUGUGUGAGCCACCACUGACUGCUAUCGAUUAACUUACCAAGGGCACCUGCGUGGUAAGAAAGUGGGGCGAGGGCAGGAUCGAUGACUUUGAGACGCUGACCUCUAGGAAUGACGCUAUACUCUUCCCAUCUUGUCCAGGAGGAAACACAGUCCCCCACUUUGAAGCUUGAAUUGUUGGAUAAAACCACUUUGCUCACACCGUACCCAUCCAAAACCUGACAUACCCACAGAUGGAGCAGCCAACAAUUGAAUUUCAUUACAGUAACAGACAUCACCAGAAGCUUACUUGACAAGUGUCUGUAGUGAUGCACAACCUACUUGACAAAUGAUUCGGUUACGUUCAAAUCAGAGGGAAUGGGAUUAUGGACCUGUCCUUCUUGGUAAGGAGGGAUAUACGAAUUGGUUUCCCCUCUCAUCCGGUGUCGCAUGUACGGGUCGCAAGAUAGGUAAAGAUUUUUCACAAGAACAUCGUUAUUGUCAUUCAAUUCCAGGGUGAUCUCGUUCGAAGAGAUUUGGAAGUCCGAUUCUUCCAAUUUUCCCAAGACAUAAUGCUUGAGCUUGAUCUGCUUGUUCCGCACUUGAUUGCUCGUCAUGGUCAUCACCUUCUUAUAGAACCUUUAUCAGCCCCAAACCUUCAGACAUUGGCAUCAUUAGACGAUUCUUACAAGCUGCGUGAUGUCUCCUCAAUCAUGCCAUCCACAACAUGCAAUUUUUUCGUUUGAGGUCAAGAUUCUUGGUGAGAGAGCAAAACAUGAACUUGGUCAUACCCUACAUGCUACAAAUUGAACGUGGCGUCAACUCACCUGAACCGAGUAUAUAGGAAUGCUCCAGGAAGAGGCGCAGACUGCUCUUUCAGCCAAAUUCAACAAAGCAGUUGUAACAAAUUGCUAUCUAUCCUACAAUCACGAGAAAAAACUUCGUUGAAAUGUCCGUCGUCGCCAAGCGUCAUCAUUCUCAUCAAACAACAUGGCUAGGAAAACAAGAGCAGAAAUCAAUCAAAUUCGAAGGUCCGUGACGGAACGACAGCGAUGCUUCAGACAAAUUUAUCCAUGGAGUUAAAUUUGAUACCACGUAUUGUGCUAUCGUUUCGCUCCACACCUUCUAAACCUCCCAACAGAAGCGUGAUCCGUGUACCACCCAUACGAACCCCCACGCACCCUUCUUUUAUACUCGCUUUAGUUCCAUGCCCAACACCCUACUAAUUCCCAAAGCAUCAAAAUUACCUCGUAAUUCAAUUAGAAAGAGGCUAAGCUAGGAUGAAAAACGAGCAGGAAUAGUGAUGAUGCAGCUGUGUAGCUUCCUCUUCUUAGAACUUGGGAAAAGGGGUCCACUGCAGCUGGAAUUAUUCGUCAUGGUGGUUCGGCAGCGCUAUCAGUGUGUUGAAAAGUUUCAUCAUUAGGAACGUACCUCCAAAUUUACAAUUUCGAGCACUGUAAGAUUUAACAAUUACAUGAGAAGAUGAAGAUUUCCAGGAUAAAUCAUUGCAAUCUGUGUGCAAGUUCAGGAAAAGUGUGUGGUGCGAAGUGCAUACAUGUCCCUAAAAUAUUAGAGAUGGUUGCAAGGGUUUCGACUGGUCAAUUGCCAACUUUCGAAACAGUGGCUAACGAUAAUUAUUGCAACGUGUCGUUACUUCUGCUUUCUUUCUUCGGUUUCUUCGAAUUCUUCUUAUUGUUCAUUUUGUUUGUUUUUAUUUUAUUCUGACUCACUAGGUCUCCUCAGGAAUAGAAAAAGGCCAACCUGAUCAGUUAUUGGUCGUUAAAGAAACUACCUCCUUUUACCAGGAUUCUCUAAAGACUGCAGAGUCUGUUGAACCAAAAGAGUUGAGCCAGAUUUGGGUGACGUCUCGGCAGGCCAAGUCAGAUUAUAGAGAGCUUCAACUCGAGCAUUUUGAUAUUUCUGACUGGCACUAGGGAGACCGAUGCGAAUCGGAAACGUGCAAAUUGGAGUCACUGGCUGCAUAAUCGUCGUCUAACAUUGGCAUGGAGAAUUUGACAUGACCAUGGAGUUGCUGAGGAUGUUUACCGACUAGCCAUCACAGCGCAAACCCGGUGGUAUGGGAAUCUAUUGAAUGUGAUCCAAAUCGUCAGCAGGUCCGUGAUAUGUAAACCCCCCCUGAAAUUAGAUUUUUUUUUUUUUUUUUAAUCCCCCCCCCCCCCCCCCCCCCAAACGCGACCACUCAUAACCCUUAAAAUCCCGCAGUGUCAUCUGGUUUUGGAAGUACCUCACCAUGUUAAAAGACUCAGUUUUGGUGGAGUCUUUUCAUCUUGACCCCCCACAAUGGACUGUGUUUUUUAAGAACUGAUCAAGCCUUGCUAACUUUCAGAAACUAGCUGUUCUGUGAUGGCUCCAUAACAGGCAGGGCUUGUGAGGAGAAAAAGAGGUUGAGAAGGCUGAGAUGGCUUCAAAAAUAGCUUAAUAAGAGCUCCAUUGGUGUAUCUAGUAGACAGUUUAAUGCCAUGUUUGUUCAGAUUCCAAACCACGACAAGAAUCCAUCCUUGAUUUAUGAUUGGGACUGUUAUGAGGUCCUCCCACAUGGUACUAUAUUACUUGUGAUUGUUUGAGGAAACAUUGGUCCCAUGUAAUCUUCUAUUGGAGAUGUCUACGAGCCAAAUUCACAUGAUUUUGUUGUUCCUAAAAAGCUUGAAUUGAACAGUAAGCGUUUGAUGGAAAAUUGUUAUGGUUAGUUUCCAUUCAAAAUCUUGUGUUUGGUAAAAACAUGAGAGAAAAGAUUGACGUGUUAAAUGACCUUGAGAUUCAUUAGAAGACAAGCUAUUCUAUAUUACACAAAAUUAACACAAAAGAAUUGUUUGUACACGUCUCAUCUUCAUAGAUUAAUAAUUCAUAUAGGAAGAUUCCUUCAAACCUUAUGAAAAGUAAAGGUCCAUGAGAAAGUAGUUACAAUUGUUUUCUUUUAAAUGCCUUUUGAAGAGAAUUCCUUUAUUUUAUUUGGAAUGAGAUAAAAUUUUUUAUUGAUUAUAGAAUAAAGUAUACAAGCAUAUAUUUUAAGUUUUAAAAUUAAUUAUAGGUUAUGGUUUUAUAUUUAAAUAAUAUGUUGUGGUGUAUUAUUUUUAUUACAUAAAAAUUAUCAUUAUUUUUAUUACAUAAAAAUUAUCAUUAUUUUUAUUACAUAAAAAUUAUCAUUAUUUUUAUUACAUAAAAAUUAUCAUUAUUUUUAUUACAUAAAAAUUAUCAUUAUUUUUAUUACAUAAAAAUUAUCAUUAUUUUUAUUACAUAAAAAUUAUCAUUAUUUUCUUAAAUUGAAAAUUUUAAAAUAUAAACCAAUAUCUGUGUUUUUGUGUUACAUUUUGUAUAUGAGCAACUCUUUGCAAGCACUCAUGUGUAUAGAAUUGAGGUGUUUGAGUCUUACCAAAUAGCUCCAAUCAUAAAGAGUAAAAUUUAGGCACUUCAAUACACUUCUUAAAAUAUUCUUUUUUCAUCACAAGUUGUUUUAACUAAUUUAAGGAGGUGCAAAAUAAAAGCCUUACAUCCAAACUUAAAAGUACAAGCAAAGGAUUCUUAAGAGGUAUAAUUUUUUAUAUAUUAAUUUAGCCUAUAAAUGCUACAUUGUAUUUGCAACACAAAGACUUGUUAAUCUAAUUUAUUUAGUAUAUUAAACUAAAAUAAAUUAAUAGAUAAAAUAAAUGAUAUCUUCUUGUAAAUUUAAUAACAUAUUAGUACUUUCUAGCAUUAUAGUAGAAUAGUGAGUUGGAUAUAAAUUGCCAAAUAUAAAAUUAGAGAGAUUAUUUAAAAAUAUUUUUUAAAAUUACCAAAAUUAUAUUCAUUUAUAAUAUGUAUAUGAAUAUAUAUAUAUAUAUAUAUAUAUAUAUAUAUAUAUAUAUUACAUCUAUUUUUGAUAGUGGAAAGACUUCAAAUAAUAUUUUGAGCAUGUAUAAAGAUUAUCAAGAUAUCUUUGAAAAGAAGAAUGUAAAUAUGCUUUUAAAGCAUUGUCCUUAUGAUUAGUCAAUUGAUCUUUAAGAAAGAACUCAAUUGCCAUUUGGACCAAUCUAUAACAUAUCACAAAAUGAAUUGGCUAUGCUUAAAGAAUAUAUUAAUGAAAACGUUACUAAAACCUUUAUAUGCCAUUUAAAAUCUCCUACAUGAGCUUCUAUCUUGUGUAUUAAAAAAUAAAGACAAAUUAUUAUAGAUGUAUGUGGAUUAUUGAAGAUUUAGUAAGAUUACUAUUAAAAAUAUAUAUCUUCUAUUUUUAAUAUCAAGAGUUUUUGAUCAAUUAAAUCAAACAAAGAUCUAUACAAAAAUAGAUCUACAAAGAGCAUACAAUCUAAUAUGCGUUAAAGAAGAAAAUGAAUAAAAGGCUAUAUUUUGAAUUGAAUAUAUGUAUUUCAAAUAUAAUAUCAUUCUUUUUGAAAUAAAAAUGUACCAAUUAUUUUUUAAUAUCUAAUGACUUAUGAUUUUGAGAGUUUGAAAUGAUUUUAUUGUUUGUUAUAUAAAAAAUAUUUUAAUCUAUUCUAAAGAUAUAAAAAAGUAUAAACUUUAUGUUCUAAAGCCUCAAGUAUUACAAAAACUUAGAGAUGCAAGGCUAUAUACCAAGAUAGAGAAGUGUGUAUUUCACAAUACUUGAGUUGACUUCUUAGCAUUUAUCAUUUCAAAUGAUGGUCUUAUUAUGGAUUAAGAAAGUUCAAACUAUCAUGGAUUGAAAGAUUUCAAUAACAAUAAGCGAUAUACAAUGUUUUUUUUUGAGAUUUGCUAAUUAUUAUUAGCUCUUUAUUAAAUUUUAUAUUUAAUAUUUUUUCAAGUUAUAACACUACUUAUAUCUUUGGCUUGUAAAAAAUAAAAAAACUUAAGUAAAAUAAAGAAGCUAAAGCAGAAUUUGAAGCUUCAAAGAUAGCUUUUAUUUACAUAUUAAUCUUGUAUUGCUUUGAUUUUUUUUAAAACAUUUUUUUUAUGAAAAUAGAUGCAUCAGACUUUGUAUUGAGUAUGAUAUUAUUAUAAAUAGGAAAAAUAUGACAAAAUUCAUUCAAUAAAUUUUUAUUUAAGAAUUUUUUUAAUAAUAAAGAUCAAUUAUAAGAUCCAUAAUAAAAAACUUCUUGUAACUAUUAAUUUUUUAUGAAAAUAGCACCAAUAUUUUUUAGAUAUUUUUGAUUUAGUAAUUGUUUAUAAAAAAUACAAAAAUCUCAAAUAUUUUAUAUCAUCACAUAUUUUAAAUUAUCACUAAACUUAUUAAAGUAUGUCUUUAUCAAGUUUUAAAUUUAAUAUUAUUUAUUGAUUAUAAAAAUAAUAUGAAUUAUGAGUUAUCUUUUUUAAAUGUUCUUAUCUUAUACUAAAAUAAAAAAAUGUGUUUUUUGAUCAAUAAUAAAUAAGUCUUUUAAAGCUAAAGUAAUUUCAUCUUAAAGCAAUAAAAUCAAAAUUAUUUUUUGAUUUAAUAUUUUGUAAUUAAAUUUAAUUGAAUAUAUCUUUAAAUGUUUUUAUUAAUAAUACCGAAAAUAAUAUUUUUAAAUUUCAUGAUUCUUCUAAUUUUAAAUUUAAAAAUAUAUUUUUUAUUUUAUGAGAUGCUUAUAUAUUCAAGAAAGUAAAACAAAAUUAUAUGCUGUUUAAGUUUAUGACAAUCUUUCAAUUGUAAGAUAAUAUGGAUACAAUAAGACUUUAGACUUAAUAUCUAAAGAUUCAUAUGGCUUCAAAUAUAGAAGAUAGUUUAAGACUUUGUACAAUCAUGUGAUAUUUAUUGAAGAUCAAAAAUUCCUUGUCAUUGACCUUAUAGACUUCUUCAACUAUUAAUUUUACCAAGACAACCAUGGUCUUUUUUUUAUGAAUUUUAUAAUUGAUCUUCCAAUCUCAAGUUCUUAUGACUAUAUAUUUGUGAUAAUAGAUUGUUUCAUCAAGAUGACAUAUUUAGUAUCAAUUAUAUAAAUUAUCACAAAUGAUGAAUAUCAAAACUUUUCUUUGACAAUAUUUAUUGCUAUUAUAGAUUGUCAUAAGAUAUUAUAUUAGAUAUAAAGACUCAAUUUGUAUUAAGAUUUUAGUAAAUUCUUUUUAAGAUAUUAAAAGUAGACAUAAAUUUUUCUUUAAUUUUCCAUUUUUAAAUUGAUGAAUUAAAAAAAUGAGUGAAUUAAGUUUUAAAAUAAUAUUUAAAAUAUACUAUUAAUUAUUAUAAAAAUGAUUAAUUAAUUACUUUUCAUUGAUAUUAUAUAUUCAUAAUAAUACAAAAUUUUAUUUCAUUCAACAAACUUCUAUAUGAAUUUUGAUUAUUAUCCAUAAUUUGAUAUUUUUUUACUUUUCAAAAGUUGAUAAUCUUAAGGUAAAAUAUUUAACAAGUUAUUUAUUAGAGCUACAUAUAAUAAUGAAGACAAAAGCAAAGAAUCUAAAGAAUAAAAAAAGAUGAAUUCAAAUGCCUAUUAGAAGCAACAAUUUCAAUUUUACAUUGUUAAUAAAGUAUAAUUAUUUUAUUAUAAUAUCAACUCUAAUUUCUUUUAUAAUAAGUUGGAUUACCAUAUAAUUAGAUUAUUUUUAUUUUUAAAUAGAUCAAUCCAAUUGGUUAUGAAUUAUACUUCUUUGAAUCUAUAAAGAUUUAUUACAAAUUCUAUAUAUGUCUUCUUAAGCCAUAUAAGAUAAUAGAUAUAUUAAAAAAAUGACAAAUAUCACUUUUUCUUAUAAAAAUGGAUAACAAUUAAGAAUUUGAGAUAGAAUAUGUCUUAAAUUCAAGGGAGUAUCAAAAUUGGUUGAAAUAUCUUGUAUAUUGGAGCAGAUAUGAUAUUAAUAAAACUUUAUGGAAGUCAUCUUAAAAUCUUGCAAAUAUAAAAAAAAAUAUUGAUGUUUUUUUUUUUUUUUUUUUUUUUUUUGAAUAUUAUUAUUAAUAAAAUCCAUCAAAAUAAAGAUGAAGAAUUAAAAAAAUCUUUGAGGUAAAAAAAAAACAAGUUCAAUGUAGAUUGCAUUCUAUACUUAUUUUCUAUUUUCUAUUUUAUUUAUUAUUUAUUAUUUAUUAUAUUUGUAAUACUAAAGAGAUAAAAAAUCAAUAGCCAAAAAAUUCUAUUCAAGAACUAUUGAUUAUUAAGUUACUAGAGAAGAUAUUGAAAUUGAUACAAUCUUCAAAAUAGCAUUAUAAAGUUAAAAACCCUGAAGUACAAAAAUAUUCUUUUUCAAAUAGAUAGUAAGAUACAAUGUAUUUGGUUUGAGACCUUAAAAGAGACUUUCAAUGUUUGGUGAUAUUAUUGGAAUUAAGAAUCACUUAUGAUGGUAUUUUAAAUAUUUUAUCUAAAAAAAGUUAUAAAACCCUCAAUAAUGAUCAAGUAAUAGAAUGAUCAUCCUGCCUUAGUAUAAAAUACUAUCAAUGGCUAAGAAGACCUAUCAACUACCUCCAAAAGAAAUAAAGAUCAAAAUACAUAACAAAUAUAAUUUAUUGUAUCUUAGACUUUGUCAAUAUGUAAUUACUAUCUCUUAUAAAAUUCACCUUUAAAAGGAGGGAUUAUGUCACAAAUACAAUUAAUAAUAGUAUUUAUCUAAAUUAUAGAAGUUAAAUAGAAGCAAAUAAAAGAAGAUAAAUAUUUGAUAAUAUCUUAUGAAAAAGCUAUUUAGAAGCUUCAUAAAUGUGGAUUUGAAUUUAUACAUGUCUAUAGGUGAUUGAUAGAUUAAAAACUUGGAUAACAAAUUUAACAUGUGGUGUACAUAUAAAAACUUUUUUUUCAAGUUAGACAUAUGUCUUACAAGUUGGAUACAUUAUAGAGAUCAUAUAGAACAUCACUACAUAGCUUUUAAUUAAAUAGUAUAUACAAAGGUAAGAACAACACAUUUUUUUUUUUAAUCAACAACUUUCUUAUAGUAGUCUUAUUUCAAGAGUCUUUAGUCUUAUUGUCUUUGGCAAUAGUUAUUUUAAUUUUAAUAUUAUAUUAUCUUUGAAUAAAUAUCUAAUCUUUUCUAAUGACAUAAGAGUGUAAUGGCUCUUUGAUUUUUUAUGAUUUAUAUACCUAAUAAGAAUAGAUAACAUAUUUGUUUUUAAAGAUAUUUUUUUAGAAAGAUAUGUAUCAAGGAGCUUUUCAUCAUCCAUCUCCAUUCAUCCAUAUGGAUGGCUUAACAACCUCUUUUAAUACCAAAGUUCUUUUUUAAUGCAUUUUCAAAUAAGUUUUACAUAGUAUGUACUUUAAAUACUAAAUAAAAAAUAUAAUAAGAUUUUAAGAGUCACCAAUGUCUAAUAAAGGUGGCUCUAAAUAUAUAAAAACUAUUAUAAAAAUAAAAUCAAUCUCAAUAGUAGCCUUUUUUAAAUGAACUACUUCAAAGUAGUAAUCUAACCACAUUUUUAUAAUCAAAUAAAAUUUAAAAAUGUGGUUUUUACCACCUUAUAUAAUAAAUUAUAUAUUAAAUAUAUAUAUAUAUAUAUUAUUUUACAUAGUAGCCAAACCACAAUACAAAAAUAUUAUAUUGGAUUGUUCAAAGGUUAUAUUCUAUUUUUUUUUUCAUUAUAUUGAGGAGAGUUAAAUAAGUUGGUGGUUUUGGUUGGACUUUGUAUGUAGCUCUUUGCAAUUGCAAAAGAAUUGUAAUCCAUUAGUAAGAGUAAAAAACUCAAAAUCAAAUAAAAGACUAUUAUUUUAGCUAAAAAUAUCUAUUUGUCUUAAUUAAAUAUCUUUAAUUAUAAAUAUCAUUAACAUAAGUAAAGCAUUAUAUUUUAUAAGUAAUAAGGAUGCUUUUACAAUUGUUGGAGAUAAAGUGUGAUUUUUUUAUUAGUGAUUAAUGAAGAAUAUUGACAAUCCAUAAUUGCAAUUUGUUUCCAUAGACAUUAAAAUUUGAUGAAAAGAUCUUGUUACUAUUUAAUGAUAUUUAUAGCCUUUUUCUUAUAGCCUAGUAGAAGCAUAGAAGAGCCUUCAAUUUUGUUGCUUCCAAAUAGAUUGAAGUUUUAGUACAAGUCUUGUGCUAAUAGUAUAUUCAAGAAAUUCUUAGUAUUAGACAAAGUAUGAAGGAUUCUUGACAUGGUGUUGGCCUUGUCAUUGAGAUCUAAAGGUUGUAUUUGAUUGCUUGUAUAGUUGAGUUUUAUCUUCUUUAAUUUGAUAUUGUAGAACAGUUAAUUGUUGAAGAUUUGAUAAUUUCUAAAUGGAGCUAUAACAAGGCUUAAUUCUAAAGAAGCAAGGCCAAAAGCUCCCUUGUAUAUAUAUUAUUGUGAUAUUGGGAGGUCUUUACAAGAAGUGAAGAUUAAAGCUAUAAAGUGGUGGUCUUGAUAUAGUAGUGGUAAGGAAUUCAGUUGGAUCUUUGAAAUUUCAGAGGCUCAAAAGGACUAUAAUAAGGCUAUUGUAUUGUAGAACUUGGCUAUUAUUAAAAAAGAGGUAUCAAGAGCAAUGAAGAUUUUAAGUUGGGUGCAACUACAAGAGGCAUGUUCACAUAAGAGAGAUUAGAUAAAUCUAACUAUGGAUGGAUUUAAAAGCUAAAUAAAUUUAGGAUAGGUUUUAAUUAGGUUAAAUUGGAUGAGAUAUAUACCAGAUGAAGAUUUUAAUUAAAAAUGAAGUUUUUAAGUAUAGGUGAGAAAUUAUUUAUAGAUGAGAGGUUAUUUGUAAAUAAUAACUUAUGCUUGGAUGAUUUUUUAUCAAAAAAUAAAUUUUAAUUAGAUAAAAUAAAUAAUAAAUAAUAAAUAAAUAAAAAUAAUUUCUUUAGAUAUGAAUUUGUGAAUAAUUUAUUAUUGAAAGUAUAACUUAAUAGUAAAAAUUUUGUUUGAGUACUUAGGUGAUUUAAGAGAAGUAAAGAGUGAAUUUAUUAGGAUUUGAAUAAUAGCUAUAAUUUCUAAAAAUUACAUAAUAAUUCAUGUGUUGUAAACUAGAAUAACCUUUUCAUUAAUUGAGGUUUAUUUUAGCUCACUUGUGCACUCAAUAACACUUUACUGAUUUAUAAUGUUUGAUAGGUCAACAUGCUUUGUGAGUGGCUGCAUAUUGGCCCAUUUCUUGAGAUGCCAUGUACUACUUCUAGGUUUCAAGGCAAUCUCCUCCAUGACAAAUUUUUUGGCUACUGUUAUAUUGUAUUAUGUAUUACUAUUAUAAAUUAUAUGAUAAUCAUUUAACUUAUAAAAUUAUAUCUUAUUUUAAUUUUUAAUUCUAAUAUUCUUUUUAAAUCUAAUAAAUAUAAACUAUGAAUGUAUGCUUAGUAUAGUAUGUUUUUGUUAUUUAUUUAUUUAUUUAUUUAUUUUAGUAUCACUUAAUUUCUAAUAUCACAUUAUAAAACAUCAAAGGUUUUUAUUUUUCUUCAAUUUUUCAUAUCAUCAAGUAAUUUGGAUUAAAGCACAAAAUAUCAAAAGUCUUAAAUUUUUUUUAUACGAUCCUACUAAUUUUCCAUUUAUUUAAUAUUCUCUAUAUAUCAUGAAAAGUCUAGCUUGGAUGAUGCAAAUUAUAAAUAUCUUUCUUCAAAUAAUUACAUUGUUGAAUAAAUUUUAUCUUUGAUGGACUUUAUAAGCAAGAGAAUAGUCAGUUGGAAGUUGUAAAUAAGCCAGGAAUUGUAAUACUCAUGCAACAUCAUAAGAUUUAAUCAAAGCAUUCAAAUGUUGCAACCAAAUUAUCUUAGAGAAUCAUAAAAGACCUAGUGGCUAAUAAAAAUAAGACAGAAUAGAUUGCUAAUAAAGUCAAGAUUAUAUUGUAUGCCUUGAAGUUAUUGAUUUAUAAUAUUUAAUAUAACAACUUUCUUUGUGAGUGGUUGUAUACUAGUCCACUUUCUAAGACUCAUUGCACUAAUUUCAAAUUUUAAAGCAAUCUCCUCUAUAGAAGAUUGUUUGGAUGCUAUUAUAUUGUAUUAUGUAUUAUCAUUACAAACUAUAAAAUAAUUAUUUAGCUUACUUAAUGGAUUUUCUUUAGUCAUAUUUCAAAUUAUAUUUUGUUAAAAUUUUCAAUCCAAAUAUUUUUAAUAGAUUUUAAAAAGAUAAAUUAUAAAUUUAUAUCAAGAGUAAUAUAUUUUUUUCAAUCUUUAUUUCUAAUAAUAUGCCAUAAAACUUAAUUUCAUCUUUUUGAAGUUAAAACAUUGUGAAAUAGCAUACAUAGUUGUGCUAAGUAUGUUAAUAGGAGAGAAUUAUGUGUUGAUAGCCAUUUGUUAUUAAAAUGUCUUUAUAUGUACUUAUUGGUUUAAAUCAUUUGUAAAAAUAUGAAACUAAUAUAAUGAAAUGAAUGAUAUUAAUAACACCUAGUGCAAUGCUAGAUAUCACAUGCAAAAAACCUUGUUAACUAUUAUCAGUCCUAUUUCUACAUAAAAGCACUAUAUAGACAUUAUUGACCAUUUAUACUAAUAUCUCAUGUCUUUAUAUUGCUAUUACAAUCUUUUAUAUAUUGGUUGAAUUUUCUUGAUUAGAAGCAAUAAUAUUGUAUCAAAAAGAAUUUUAAGAUCUUCAAAAAGAAAAUUCUUAAAGAAAAUAAUAUUAAAUAAAAAUAUAAUAUUUUCAAGAGAGAAAUAAAAAGUGGAAUUCUUCAUCAAAGCCUAAAGAUAUAUAUAUAUAUAUAUAUAUAUAUAUAUAUAUUUAUUUAUUUUCUUAAUAAAGAAUACUUACCAAAACAACAAUGUGAAUACAAGAGAGUAUCAAGAUAACAAUAGAGAAACAAAAAAGUAGAGCUAUCAUAGAAAAAAAAGGAACAAGCCAAAUCCAUGCCAAAGAAAAUGCCUGGUACAAGGAUUAUAAGAAAGAAAUGGAAGAAAUUAAAGAAAGAAAGAGAGGAUAUAUUAAAUUUGAAGGAUCCUCAGCAUUAAAAGCUUAAGAGGAAGCUAGACAUGGUUUGAUUGAUCAAGAUAGGAGAGUAUAACAUAUUCCAAGGUUCUAGAAAGAAAACAAGAGAACAAAAUUAAAAUUUUAUUGCCACAUAGAUGUUGAUUUGAAGACAUUAAUACUAUUGAUGGUAUUGUAUGAAUUCUUGUUGCAACCAUAAAAUGGGAGCAUUUGUAAGAUUUUAUUAAAGUGGAAUGGAGAGUUGUAAGAUAGAUUGCACUAUAAGGUUAAGCAACACAAGCAAUUUUAAGAGUAUAGGAUUUUAACUUUUCACAUCAAGUUGAGUGUGUCACAUUCAUUAUUGUGGUAGUAUAAAGUUAAAGUGCAAGCAUUGGAUUUUUAUGAGGUAGGUUUGAGGUUUUAGUGGCUUUUAAGUGAAAUAAAUAUCAAAGUUUAGAUUUACUUUUAAGUAUUGUUGUUGCAAUGGACGUCUUUGGCCAAAAUUUGUAAUCCUAAAGGCAUGAUUUGAGGUUUUAUUAUGACAAACAAUAGCUUAGAAUAUAAUCUCAAAUAAUUGAGUACUGAUUUUUGUUGUUAGGAUUUUGUUGUUGUAGUUGAAUUUGAAAAAAAAAAUUAAAACUAGUAUUGUGGAAGGCACAAGAUGAGAAUGAAGUGAAGGUUAAGGUUGUCAUUUUGGCAUCUCUUGUGAAGUAGAAGGAGGGAAUUGAAAAAAACAAGAGAGCUUUUAAGGUUUGUUCAAUCAGUUGAAAGAGUAGUGUUAAAAAUUGCAGACAAGAAAAUAUGAUAGAAGAGAUGAUAGGAGAAAGAUGGUGAUUUAUGGCAUGAGAAGAGUUAAAGUAUCAACAAUCAAUCAUAAGAGCUUUAGGUUGGAAAUUGUAUUGCACUUUAGAUUAUGUCAUGGAAUUAUUGGGGCUGAGAUAGUACCAAACAACAAUAAGACAUGUAUGUAUUCAAGAGCAAUGAAAGAUUGGGAUGUUUGAUAUAAUUUAAGUUUAGGUUUAAGACUAAAGAACAAGUCUAAAACCUUGACAAGGCUCUUAGACUUGAAGUUGACAAAAUAAAGAUUUGGAAAGCUUGCAAUGAAAUGAAAGUGAUUUUAGACAGUUUAUAACAUGCAAGUCUAUAUAUUUGGUUAUUUAUUUUGGUUAGAUUUAUUUAUUUAUUUAUUUUUGAUAAAGAUGAGAUAUAUUAUAGGGAUUUUUAUAAUUUGGUUUAUAUUUAUACAUGGAUGAUGAAUUUUGAAGGUUGUGUUGUAUUUGUAAUGAAGAUAAAAACUUUUUCUAAUUUAAUAUCUAGUAGAAAAAUGGAUCAAAAAGACAUUGGAUGAUGUCUUCUUUUUUGAAUAGCCAUAGCAAAGAUCUGUGGUGAAUGCAUGCAUACGAUUAAUGUUAUGCUUGGUACAAAAGAGCAUACGUGAUGAUAUGAGAUUCUACUAUGUACAUCCCUAUGUACAUCCCUAUACAGAUAAUUUUAUAAGUAAAAUGAAUAUGAGAUUUGUGCAAACAGAUAGUUGACAAUUUUUGAAAUAAUGUGUUAUUAACCUUAAUAUUUUAUUAGAAGUGUAGGUCUGAAUUUAGAAGAGAUGUAUUAUAAUUUGAGCUCCUAUAUACAUAUUUGCAACAUUUACUAUGAAAGCUUUGGAAGGGGUUGUAUUAAGAAUUUUUAAUAAUUCAAUGGAACCAUAAAUAAGAGGUGAUCAUGAAUUUUAGUUUAUUUGUUUAUUUGUUUCAUUUUUUUUUCUUGAUUUCUUUUUUGAAAGCCAACUUAUAAUUCUUUUCUCAGGAUUGUUAACUCAAAUAACAAAACUAAACUUGAUUUUAGGUAAGAGCUAGUAUAUUAUAAGAAGAUGUAGAAGUAAGAUAGUAGAUGCACGCAAUAAUAUUUUAGAUUAUAAAUGUUUUGUUUGAUUCCAUCUUUUUUAGUUUUAGAUUUAUUAUUAAUACAUGGUAUUUUUUAUAAUUUUGUGGUUUUCAUGUGCUAUUAAAACUUUUACACAAUUUGGAUAUGAUUAAACUUGACAUGCUACUUACUAGGAUCCAAUUGUGUACAAGAACCUCUCACAAACAUCUUACAUAGAAGUUCAUAAGGUCCAUUUGUCAUGUAGUAUGAUAUAUUUCAAUGAUAAUAAGUGGUAACUUAGUUUUAUAAGAACAAUGAGAUCAAUACAUCCAAGAUAUGCAAGGAUUAUAUUUUGCUUAUGAUAGAUCCAACGGUACUUAACAAAUGCUAGUUGAGUCAUAGUAUCAUUGUUUCACAUACAAAUAAUGCAAUAUUGGUAGAAUUAGUUAUGUCUUGUUUGCCAAUAGUUGUUAUUUGGCAAUAUAAGUAGCAAUGAAAUUGUAUUGAUAGCUAUAGACAAGGUUCUUAAAAGAUGUCAAUGAUAUAUGAUAGCAGUAGACAAGAUUUGUAUAUGGCAUCAAUGACAUAGCAUGGUGCAAACAUCCACAACUAUUGUGUCAACAAGCUCAUUUGAUAAUAGAUUUUUUUAUGAAGAAGCAAAGAGGUAGCAUAUCUAGAAACGAGAAGAGAAUGGAGGGCAUUGCUAUGAAAGUUUGUUUUUGAUUUUUUUCUUUUUUUGGUGCAAAAUUAAAAGAAAUGAGCAAAUUAGAGGACUGAAUAAGUGGUAGGCAAGGAUUGAGCAGUGGCUCAAGAAUUUUUGAAGGUAUAGGAAGAAAUAGUAGUAGUAGAUUUUAUGUUAUUCAAAAUUUCUUAUACAUAUGAUUUUGUGAAUGUAUUAUGUGACUAAAGUUACAUGAAUAGUGGUUUCAACAAACUAAAGGUCAUGGAGAUGGAAGUAUUGAGGUAUUUGGAGCAACUAUUGAAGUGAAGGUAAAAGAAGGUCCUUUAGCAAUCAAGCUAUGAUAUGUAAAUUAUGAGAAUUAAAUAAAUCAAGCAUUGAAGUUAAAAAAAAAGAAAGAAAAAGUAGAUUUUUAAAUUUAUAAUAAUGAGUUGAUAAGAUGAUCUAAUUUUUGAUUUUGAUUUUUUAUUUAUUUAUAUAUUUAUUUGAAAUAUAUAUAAUAAUUGAAUAUUAAAUUAAAGAUUUUUUAAGAUUAAAGAUAUAUUGUCAGAAUGAUAUUUGUAUUGUAUAGGAUAGAAGAUAAUAUGCUUGGUGUAGCAAUGUAGAUAAAAGAAUAUAGAAUAUAAUAAUGAAGAAAGUAGAUUUAAUGAAUAAUUACAAAUAUAUAUCAAUAGGUUGAAUUUUAGAAAAUUUUUAAGAAAAUUAAUAUGAUAUAAGUUUUGGAGUUGAUGAAGAAAUAUUUUGCAUAUCUUUUAGAAUUGAUGAAGAAAUAUUUUUUGGAAUUGAUGUCCAUAUCAUAUAUAUGAGAAGAAAGAUAUCUAAUUAAUAUGAAAGAAUCCAAUGAUUUUUUGGAAGAUAUUGAUACAAUAUCAAAGAUAGAAGAUAUUAUUGGAGAUGUUUGGAGAGAAUGCCAAGCCUAUAUUGUAGCAUUGAAGGAUUUAUUGAAGAAAGAAGAUAUAUUGAAUAAAAAUCAAUGUAAAAUUUUAUGCAAGAAGAUUGAACAUGCCAUGAAGGUAUAUAACUAUUUGAUGACUUGUAGCAAUGAUGGAUUGAAGUAUGAAAAAUUAUUAAAGUAAUUAUUGAUUAUAUUAAUUUUUUUUUAUUUAUUAGUGAAGAAUUGUGAAAAAAAAAAUGAUAUAAAGUAACAAUGAUUUUAUUAAAGAAUAAAAAGACUUUCAAAGAAUUACUUUUGAGCUUAAAGUGUUGUUAUGAAGAAGAAACUAAUAUACUUAAUGUACUUUUGAAGAAUUUUGAUAAAAUAUUUGAAGACAAAGUAUUUAGUAAUUUUAAUGUUGCAACUAAUGAUGAAGUAGAAGGUGAUGAAAGACAUUUAUAUGAAAGUUUGAUUCUUUCAAAUAAAAAAGAAAAUUUUAAAAAUUGUGGAUUAACAAAGCAUCUAUUACAAAAGUUGAAAGAUUUAAGUUAUAUAAAAGGUAGAAAAUUAGAUGAUUUGAAACUAUCAAAUAUAGAAAGUAUUAAUUUCAUAAAACUCAUAGGUAGAGGAUUUUCUAAAGAAGUACAUAAAUUAAAGUGGUUUGAACUUUUAUGUGUAACUAAAAAGAUGAAAAGUAUGCAUUUAAAAUCUUUCAUCAAAGAAGCAAGCAUCCUAUGAAGUCUAAGCCAUUCCAACUUGAUAUCUUAUUAUUUUACAAUGAAAACUAUUAGAGGUGAAAAUAGUCAAUGUUCUUCAUCUAAAAUGAAGAAUGGUCAUAUAUAUUUAGAGAUAGAAUUGAUACAAACAAAUCUAAGGGAUAUGCUAAAAAAAAUAGAGAGGUAUCUUAUAUAGUUUUAAUCAAUAUCAUAUAUCAAAUUAUAAGAAAAAUAUAUUAUUUAUAUAAUAUGCACAUUGCACAUCGUAAUUUAAAGCUUGACAAUAUUUUGGUGAAUAUUGCUGAAAUGAAAGUGAUGAAUAAGAUUGUGUUAUAGACUGUUAUGAAAGUGAUUGAUUUUAGAAAAUAUAAGAUUGAAGUUGGUAGCAAUCCAAAAGUAAUAGAAAAUAAUUAUAUUUAUGAUAGUUCAGCUUACAUGGCUCUUGAAGUAUUGAAGAAUAAAAAAAAAUAAAAAUGUAGCCUUUUGAUACAAAUGUAUUUACAUUUGGAAUGAUAUAUUGUAAGAUUAUUUUUAAAACAUAUCCAUUUGAUGAUUGUCCUAGAAAUAAGGUAUUGAAAAAAAUAAAUAAUAGUCAAAGAUCAAAAUUACCUUCAAAUUGUGAUAAAUUGACUAAGUUUAUCAAAGAAAGUUAGAACUUAAAUCCAUUGCAUUGACCCAAGUUUGCAAAAUUUAUGAAAGAAUGAGAGUGUUGAAAAAAAAGAUUAUGAAUGGAGAUUUUAUGGCUAAAACAUCAGAUUAUAAUGCAUCAAAGAACAAAAGUCAUGAAAAUAUAGAAUCACAACAAAUAUCCAAUAAAGUGCUUGUUUUUAAAUCAUUUCUAUUAAAUGAGAUAAGAAUGUAUUGAAGUGAUUUGAUUGAUUAGAGUUUUUAUUUGUAUACAAACUUAUAUGAUGUGGUAAUGGUUAGUUGUGGUAAAAAGAGUACUAAUUUGAAGAUCUAGAUUAGAAUAUAGUAUAUAUUAUAUGUGUAUUUAUUUUAUUCUUUGUGUUGAUGCUUACUUUAAUUUUUUAUUAUAGAUUGAUAUAAAUGAAGAAAAAGUAUUUAUUAAAAAGCAAUGCUUAUUGUAAAUAUCAAGCUUAUAUGGAAGCAAAGUGAAGACAUUGUGUCUUGUUGGAAUGGAUAAAAUAAGCAAGACCACAAUAGCAAAGAUGACAUUGAAUGAUGUGAUGAUGAAAUAUGUAUGAUGCUUCAUGUUUUGUUGAAUGUGAUGAAAAUGGUAGUGAUUGUUACAAAAUCGCUUGCUAGAUCUUAAGACAAUUGAAAGUUAAAGCAAAAACAAAGUACUUGAAAGAAGCACAAGAAAAGCUGAUAUUAUUUGUAAUUAAAAAAAAAAUCAUCAUAGUCUUUGAGAACAUAAAUUGAAGAUGUGGCUAUGGAUGAUUUAUUUGCUAUAAGUAGAAAUACAUUAAUUGUGACAACUUGAGAUUGAAAUGUUAUGGAGAAUUGUGGUGAUAAAAUUUAUAGAAUAAAUAUUGAAGAACUUGAUGAAAAAACAAGUUGGAGGUUGUUUAUUACUCAUUCUUGUGGAUUUAAAGACAAGUUGCUUAAUGAACUAGCUAAAGUUGGUAAAAAGAUUAAAAAAGUGUAUAAUGGCCUACCAUUGAGCUUGAAAGUUAUAGGUGCAUAUUUAAGAAAGAAAGAGAGGUUGAGAUAUUGAAAGCAAGUUUUUUAAAGUUUCAAGAGGAGAAGAGAGUUGGAUAGAGAUGAAAAGAAUAGUGACUAUAAGCUUUGGAAUAUAUUGAAAGUAAGUUUUGAUAACUUGAAAGUUGAAGAGAAGAAUAUAUUCUAAAGCUUAGCACUACUAGACUCAGGAGCAUCUGCUUGUUUUUUAGACGAAGAAUUUGCAAAGCGUCAUAAGAUCCCUUUAAUACAAAAAUCAAAACCGAUUUAUGUUGAGGUCAUAGAUGGGCGACCUUUAUUGUCUGGUAGCAUCACCCAUGAAUCAAAACCUAUAGAAGUAACGUUUAAAGACCAUAGUAGUCAUAUUAUUUUUAAUAUUAUUAGAACCCCAUCAAAUCCUAUUAUUCUUGGUCUUUCUUGGUUGGAAAAACAUAAUCCAUUGAUAGAUUGGAGGUUGCGGAAGAUGACUUUUUCCACAAAACCACCCAAGAAAAAACCUAGUAAAAAACCUCGAAAAAAGAAAUCCUUAUUCAUUGGAGCAAGAGCGUUUAUAAGAUCAUCUAAGGAAGGUACUCCAUUUGUCAUUUAUGCGGCUCCAAUUACCAAGGAGAAGAUCUCAACAGCAAGUAUACCAGAGCAAUAUAAAGAUUUUGAAGACGUGUUUCAAAAGAAGAACGCCGACAUACUACCGGAACAGCGACCAUAUGAUUGUGCCAUAGACUUGCAAGAAGGAGCACAACCACCUUUUGGCCCAAUCUACAAUCUAUCGCAAACGGAGUUGGCAGAGUUACGAAAGUACAUCGACGAGAAUCUAGCUAAGAACUUCAUUCGUCAUUCAAAAUCAUCAGUUGGAGCACCCAUCUUAUUUGUGAAGAAGAAAGAUGGAUCAUUACGGAUGUGUGUGGACUAUCGAGGCCUCAACAAGGUAACAAAGAAAAAUCGUUACCCAUUACCUUUGAUUUCUAGUCUCUUAGAACAACUUAGACGUGCGAAGAUCUUUACAAAAAUUGAUCUAAGGAGAGCUUAUAAUCUCUUACGAAUCAAGGAAGAAGAUGAGUGGAAGACAGCAUUCCGUACAAGGUAUGGUCAUUUCGAAUAUAAUAUCAUGCCUUUUGGUCUUACCAAUGCUCCAGCGGUUUUUCAACAUAUGAUGAAUGACAUCUUUCGAGAACACCUCGACGAUUUUGUUGUCAUCUACUUGGACGAUAUUCUAAUAUUCUCUAAAAAUGAGGAAGAGCAUGAGGAGCAUGUUCGUUUGGUCUUGGAGAAACUACGCAAGCGAGGACUAUAUGCCAAAUUAGAAAAGUAUUUAUUUCACUAGACGGAGAUGGAAUUUUUGGGGUUCAUUGCGACUACAGAAGGUUUGAAGAUGGAUCCCAAGAAAGUAGAAGCAAUCAUGUCUUGGGAGGUUCCGAAGACGGUUAGAGAUGUACAAUGCUUUCUUGGUUUUGCUAACUUCUAUCGGAUCUUCAUUAAGAAUUAUUCUCAAGUUGCUGCUCCUCUCACUCGAUUAACAUGCAAGGAUAAGUUAGAAUGGGGACCUUUGGCGGAGAAGGCGUUUCAAGAUUUGAAGACAGCAUUUACUACAGCUCCAAUUUUGGUACAUUCAGACUUUACAAAGGCCUUCUAUUUAGAAACUGAUGCUUCAGAUUUUGCUUUGGGAGCUGUGCUUUCACAAAUGAGUGAAGAUAAGAAGCUCCAUCUAGUUGUAUUCUAUUCUCGGAAGUUCUCUGCUGCUGAAAUCAAUUAUGAGAUCCACGAUAAGGAACUUCUUGCUAUAGUGGAUUCUUUCGAAGAAUGGCGUCACUUUCUUGAAGGAGCUGCACAUCCAGUAACCGUAUAUAUGGAUCACAAGAAUUUGGAGUAUUUCAUGACGACUCGAGUUUUAAAUUGGCGUCAAGCUCGGUGGAAUAUGUCGCUAUCUAGAUUCGAUUUUGUUAUCACUUAUCGACCUGGAAGACAGCAAGGACUAUCCGAUGCUUUAUCAAGGAGAUCGUAUCUUGCACCAAAGACUGGAGAAGCAGCAUUUGAUCAACAAUGUACAACGUUAUUGAAGCCAGAGAGAUUUCAACUUUGUGCUACUAUUGUAUCAUUUGAUGCUGACUUCCUAAACCAGGUACGUGCUAUGACCAUUAAAGAUUCAGUAGCCAUUGAUAUCAAGCAACGUACCAAUGACGACAAGUUCAAGGUGGAGGGAGAUCUUUUAUACUUUGAAGAGCGAUUGUACAUUCCAAAAGGACUAGCACGACUCCGAGUUCUUCAAUCUCGCCAUGAUUUUCCAACUGCGGGACAUUUUGGAUUCAACAAGACCUUGGAGCUUAUUUUCCGAGAUUUUUGGUGGCCCCAAAUGUGGAAGGAUGUGAAAGAUUUUGUCCUCUCUUGUGACAUCUGUUCAAGAUCUAAGAAUCCUCGGCAUCGCCCUUAUGGACUUCUACAGCUAUUGCCAAUUCCACGUCGACCAUGGUCUUCAAUUUCUAUGGACUUCAUCACGGACUUGCCAUCAUCAAACUCAUUUGACAGCAUCUUUGUUGUGGUAGAUCGGCUUACGAAGAUGGCACACUUUGUUCCUUGUAAGAAGACAUCGUCUAGUGAAGUCAUAGCAAGACUCUUUCUUGAUAAUGUAUAUCGAUAUCAUGGACUACCAGAUGAUAUCAUAUCAGAUCGAGGUACCCAGUUCGUAUCAAAGUUUUGGAGAUCUCUCUUUGGGAUAUUGAAGGUGGAUAUCAAGCUUUCUUCAGCUUUUCAUCCUCAAACUGAUGGCCAAACGGAACGGGUGAACCAAGUCUUGGAGCAGUACUUACGAUUCAGCAUCAACUAUCAACAAGACGAUUGGACUGCAUAUCUACCGCUAGCCGAGUUUGCAUAUAACAACAUCCUCCAUACGUCGACUCAACAAACACCAUUCUUUUCCAACUAUGGGUAUCAUCCGAAGCUUGAUUUAUUGAGUCCGUCAACAAAUAACAAUCCAGCAGCUGAAGGAUUUGCAAAGCAACUAUCAGAGCUUCAAACUAUGUUGAAGCUUCAAUUACAAUCCACUCAAGAAUCCUAUAAGACGUCUGCAGAUAGAUUUCGGAAUUCAGCACCUACUUUCAAAGUUGGAGACAAAGCAUGGCUUCUUCAACGAAAUAUCAAGACCAAGCGACCAUGUGAUAAGUUGGACUAUCAAAGAUUGGGACCAUUUAUCAUCCAGAAGCAAAUUAAUCCAGUGGCAUACCGGCUGGAGUUACCGGCUUCUAUGAAGGUACAUCCAGUCUUUCAUGUUUCUCUGUUGGAUCCUUAUCGAGAGUCAUCUUUUCUUGGAAGAGUGCAAUGUCCGCCACCUAGUAUUGAAAUCGAGAACCACGAAGAAUACGAGGUUGAAAAGGUAUUGGAUUCACAGCGAAGGUGGGGAAAGUUAGAAUAUCUUGUUCAUUGGUGCGGCUAUGACAUUAAUGAGUGAACGUGGGAGCCAGCUAAAAAUCUUGCGAAUGCGCCACAAAAGGUACAGGAGUUUCAUCAACGACAUCCCGAUAAACCUAAAUCAAUUCGAUGAUAGCUUCUUUCUGAAGCUUGUUCUCCCAACAAUAUAAGAAAAGGGGAGAGCACCAGCAAAAUUCAUAGUUGAUGUAGUUAUUUUCUCCAAGAUAGAUCGUAGUUUGGUCUUUUGAUAUGGAUAGCCAAGAGAUAGAUAUUAUGCCAGUCAGAGUAUCGCAACCGAGUAGCUCACGAAGGCGACCCCGAGAUGAAGAACUACGUGUACCACGACGACGACGGAGGAUACCGAGUAAUCGAUCACUGGUGAUCGUAUUUGAGAUCGAGCCUGCUUACAAUGGUCAACCAAAAGGCGUGUUUGCAGGACAAUUUCACAAUGAGGACACGGAAGUUCAUGCUUGGUCAGAAGUCAAAGGCGUGGGCCACUACCGUUGGCUUCAAGGGUCGAUGAACCACUUGCCUCGUAAACAACAAUUGGAGUUCAUAGCAGAAGUUAUGCGACAGAUCUUCAUUUUUUUGCGUUGGUACUGAUCAACAACAUUGCUUCUCAGAGACCUCGAAGCUAAAGGAGGGGGUGAUGUUAGGGACAUAUUCCUUAGAACUUUCUAGAGAGAAGUUUCUAGAACCUUCUAGAAAACAAGCCUUUGGAACCUUCUAGAAGAGAAGCCUCUGGAACCUUUUAGAGAGAAGUUUCUAGAAGCUUCUAGAAAGGAAGUCUCUGGAACCUUCUAGAAGAGAAGUUUCUAGAAGCUUCUAGAAAGGAAUCUCCUGGAACUUUCUAGAAGCUUCCUAGUUAAUAGAAGUAGCUCGAGAAGUUUCUAAAACCUUCUAGAAAGGAAGCCUCUGGAACCUUCUAGAAGCUUCCUAGUUAAUAGAAGUAGCUCGAGAAGCUUCCUAAGUAGGAGUAUAUAUAGGAAUCGAGGCUGAAGAGUUCUUCAGUCUCGACAACACAUCUCUUGGAGUUCUAGCUCACCUUUCUGGUGUUGUUCUUGUACUCAUCUGUUUAAUCUAGUUCUGCCACUUCUUCUUGAACUUCUUGUUAGAUUUCAAGUCUGUAUUUUGUGUCCAUGAUAGUAUGACUGAAGCCUUUUUUACUCUUGUUAAUUCUUUUUUUUGCUUCUAGUUUAUUUUCAAAGAUCUUUGAUUUAUCUUAUCUUUUAGUAAUAGCUAUUUUAGUUUUUUUUAAUAAAUAUAUUUAUUUAUUUCUAUUUUGACAUCUUUUUUGAAAAAAAAAAAAAUUAUUUAUUUACUUGUCUUCAUCAAGUUCUUGUCCUCAAAAAAUUGACAAAAGUAUACUUAUAAUAUCAAAGUUUUAUCUUUUUUUGAUUAACAAUAAAUUAUCUAUUUUUUAAAAAUAAGACAUAAGUGUAUUAGAAGUUAGAAAUUAUUGACUUUAAAAUUCAUAUUGUUCUUAGAAUUUCUUUAAUUUUGUAGUUCUUUCUUCUAUUUAUUUUAAGAGAUAUUAGAUUUUUUAUUUUUUAUUUUUUUUUUCUAUUAUAUAAUCAUAAAAAAGUUUAUUCAAAUAAAGAGUGCAACUAUACAAAUGCAAGAAUAGUUGAAAAAAUUAAUACUUACAAUGCAUCAAUUCAAUUUACCACUACAAGAAACAGUAUGAUUAAUAAGAAGUAAAGAUAUAGAGAUGAUUGGAGUUACUUCAACAUCUACACCAAAUCAUAUUCUUCUUCUUUUAGUGGAAUAUUGCUCAAGCAUUAGAGAAUCAAGAAUUAUCUUAUUUGAGAAAUUUAAUGGCAUAAAAUCAAAGUUUUAAAGAUUUAUCAAUCAUAUAUAAUUUGCAAUUGAACUUCAACUCUAAUUCUAUCCAAUUCUAAAAUCACAAAUCAAUUUUAUUGAAAUAUUACUUUCAAAUUCUGUGUUAUGAUAUAUUUCAUCUUUUCUUAAAUAUAUGAUCUAAUAUUAGAUAAUUUGGAGGCUUUUUUGGUAGAGUUUCAAUCCAUGUAUGAAAAACAUAAUACAAUUUGUAUUGCAAUGAAUAAGAUCCAUAUUUUGCAACAAGGCAAUCAAUCCAUAACAUUAUAUACUUCAAAAUUUUAAUAACUUAUAAUUAAAAUUAAGUAAAAUGAUGCGGCAUUCAUUAGCUAAUUUUUCUAUGAUUUACAACAUAAAGUAAAGAAAUUGAUGUUCAAUAUACAUAAUAUAUAAACAUUGAGUCAAAUAAUUGACUUUGCUAUGAAAUAUGAAAAAUUUUAAAUUUUGAUUUGAAAGUUGUAUAAAAUUGGCCUCAAUGUUAUUAUAAUUCAAUAGAAAUAUCAAUGUCUUUUUAACACAUACACUUGAAAGUAGAGGAUAUACAAUAUAUAAAUAUUCAUAGCUUGUGGUACAAGCUAACUAUGUAGUACACAUUCAAGAAACUUGUCUCAUAAGUUAAGGCAUGUGUCUUAUAAAUUUAACAUGUAUAAAAAGUCCUAUAGAAUGUCACCAUAUAGCUCCUAAGUAGAUAGUAUAUAGAGGUAAGAAUGAAGCUUUCUUCAUUCUUGUCAAUUCUUUUUUUGCUUUUAGUUUAGUUUUAAGGAUUUCUAGUUUUUCUUGACUUUUGGCAAUAGCCAUUCUAGUUUCUUUUUUAAUAAAUAUAUUUACUUAUUUCUAUUUUUUCAUUUUUCUUUAAAAAAAGUCUCAUUUUUUUAUUUAUUUUUAUAAAGUCUUUGUCUUUAAUAUAUUAAUUAUAUUUUUUUUGAUAUUAUAAAUAUACAAAAUUUCAAUUUAUAAAACAUAAUAGUAAUUAGAAUAUUUUUAGUGGUUUUAAGUUAUACUAAUAUUAUUUUAAUUUGAUUAUAGAGGUUUUAUAUUUGUCAAAAUUAAAAAAGAUAUAAAAUGUUAUUAUUAUGAUAUAUUAUAUAUUUAAUUAAAAAAUAAGUUUUAGAUAACUUUAAAGAAAUCAUUAUAAUCAAUCUUAUAGAAUUAUUUAUAAAAUACAUAUCAAUAAUUUGGUGGAUUUUGGUUGGUUAUUAAACAAAAAAAUUCUUAUAUUUUUCAAUGAUGCAACUAUCAUAUUUUAAAUGUUGAAUUAGCAUAAAAAAUUAAAGAUAUUGAUAUUAAAAUAUUUUAGAUUAAUAUCAAAUCUACAUUAACAAAAUAAAGAUUUAAUUAAAAAUAAAAAACAUAUUAAAUAGAAAUCAAUGCAUAGAUCUUUGCAAAAAUAUUUGACAUGUUAUAAAAAUAUUCCAAAACUUUAUAACCAACAUUAAUAAUGAUUCUAAAUAGAAGCUUUUAUUUAUUAAAUUUUAUUUUAUAAUGAGUACAUUUUUUGCAUUGACAAAAAAUUUCGUGGAAAAAAUAAUUGGUCCUGUCUAGCUAUCUUUUAAUUGAAAAUUAAAGAAGUAUUUUAAAAAUUAAUUUUAGAUUAAAAGUAUUUUUAUGAUAUAGCAUACAACAUUCUUUCAAAUUAUUAUUCAAACAACUUUAAACUUAAUAGACAUAUUAGUUUUAUUGUUGCUACAUUUGAAGAAGUUAAUGAUAAGAUUUUUUUGUAAAAAAAUAAAUAAUACAAUUAGAAAUAUGCAUUGUAAAGAAUUUAAAUUAGAAUUUAAAUUAGGGCGUACUUUCAUCCCAUUUCCAGGGUUCUGAGGAGAAGGCCCAUAAAAGUCCAAUAGGUAAUAGUACACAGCCUCCUCGUCCCAGUCGAAAGUCAAGCUGCUGGUUUUGUCGCGGCAUGCGGGGCAGUCAUUCUCUGCUGGCCACAACUUCGACGAAUUUCCUUCCGUUUUGUGUUCCUCUGAUGCAACAACCUCAGUGAUCUGCAAUGUAGGUAAGACAUCCUAGUUAAAAAUUCCAACCAUGUUUACAACUCAAUAUCGAAGAUAGUAUUUAUGUCCAUGCAACGUUCCUAAAAAUAAAGAAAAAUGAUUGAAUCACCAAUAACAUAAUACAUUGAUUGUAGCAAGUGAAAAAACAGUCCGAGCAUCUUAGUAAGGGAAAUACAUUGCUUUCAAGAUGAGAAGGAGCUUACCAUAUUGUGGAUCCUCCACAGCCAUAGGACCAGGUCCCUCUUACUUAUUCGUGGACUAGCUUGGCUUCUGAAAACAGCCAUGUCAUAAAGUGAAUCGUGAACUAAAGAUAUUAUAAAAGAUUGAUGGUAUCAAUUCAACCCCAGUGCAGAAGAUACAUGCCUCAUGUAAACGAGGUAAAUAACUUGACCUCGACAUAAGGGUUUGGGAAAAGGGAAAGAAUUUGGAGUCAUAAAGAGCAGUCCAAAUAGGGACAUUUGAAUCAGCUAUUUCAGAUGAACACAGAAAGUAAACCGUAUUCCAGAACAAACAGACCGUCAGACAUUGAGUUUCUCAGACAAUGAAUAAAUCUUGGCACGUAAUUCGUCUGUGCUGGCAUGAAUCCUUUCUAGAUAUUUCUGAAAAAAUCAGACCAGAGAAGACGGGCUACACUCAAUCUACAAAGCAUUAGAAACACACCUGGUGGUUGCAUUCCGAAAAUGAUCACGACAAUGAUCACAUUUGUAGAAGUCGUCAACAAAUGCUUCUAUAGCUAACUUCGCAAAGGUAGCCUCAAAUUCUUGUACUCGAACUGUCAAUGAAUGAAGCAAUAGCCACAAUCCGCAGCUGCAAAGGGAAAAGUUAGAUAAGCGAGAGGGCAGCCAACAAAGAGCCUUGAGAUGAGCUUUGUGCUUGAAAUGACAGGUAACCGCCAGGGACUGUUUCGUGCUUACUACGUUAGACUGUCCUGCUGUUACCAUAACAAUAUAUAGCCGUAAGGUCUACAAGAGCAUGACAUGUGAGACAAGGGUAGUACUACUCGGCUAAUUUUUGUAGAUGUUUUGUAAUUAUUAGAACAACGCUAGCAGUACGGUGUUGAGAACCCACUAAACCUCAAGUAGAAAGUCGUUCACUUGUAACCGCGACCUUUUCCAUCGCAAGCUUCCUGGAAAAUCAUUUCAUGAGAAUUGAUGCUCAUAUUUCUUGACUAGUUGAUCUCGAUAAUUAAGGAUAGCGGAACAUCAGGGUAUGAGACGCAUCAAGGCAGAGGAACACACAAAUGACAACCAAUGUGGUUCUGGGUGUCAAAAUAUGAACAGGAUGAAGAAAGUGUAAGGAAAAACCCAGAAGCGACGAGGUAAGCCUGGACCGCACAACUGUUGCUUCCUCAACGCAUUUGUAGGUUGAAGCUGGCUGCCAGGCCACCAUUUCGUUGAGUCCUGCAGCAAUUUUGCACUCCCAAUCCGACACCUGAUAUUGCAUCCUACGACCAUAAGUUUCCUUGCUUAAAUAGAGUUAUUCAAAGCGGAUAACCUACCUCUUCAGUAGCUAAAAUUCCCAAAAAUGGAAUCAACGAUAGCAACUUCGAAUCCAACAAGAUUGUGGUGGUUAAAUUGAUCAUUGAAACACUCCAACGUCCGCUUUCUACUCAUACUGAAUACUGAUGGCACACACACACACAUUCUGAGAGGACGACACAUUAGUAAGAACAGCACCUGUGUGAGGGAUGUUGCAUUUCCAAGAGAUGCAAAAAAUCCAAAAAAGAGGAGUGACUGGAUGACCGUAGCAUCUGCAGGAGUCAUGCAAAGAGUGCCAAGGGAACUUAGGUCAACAAGGACCAUCUUAUCCAUGCUGUACUCAAAUGAGCCGCCAAGCAGAAUAUCUAAAGCUAACAAGCAUAGACCUUAGAGCCAAAUUACUAAACCAACCAGAAAGAUUGAAUACAUAACAAUAUGGAAAUAAACAAAAAACGUAAAGCGUCUUCCUACGAGGAGUUCGUGGCUUACCUUCUCAUCCAACAUGUAUGAAAAAGCAUACGCCGUGGCUUCUUCAACAUCAUGCAGCAUUCCAGAAAUCUUUUCAUGAACACAUGGCAUUUACGAUCUCACAUCAAGUUCUGAACAUAAGCGAUAACUGCAAAAUCGUAAUCCAAACGUAAAUAGAUAAUACACUAUCCGUUCACUUGGUGAAAACUUAACGACUCUUUCGGCGACAAUGACAUCUCCUGUAUGGUAAACAGUCCGAAGAUCUAAACAAUCCUGUCUAGACAUAAUAAUAUAAGCAAACUACUUUGAUGAUUCUCAUGGCUAUGUGGUGGUUUUGUGGCUGGACCUCCCAAACGCCAAGCUCCUCCGAGAACUGCUGCUUUGCUGUUUCAGUUUCGGUGUUUGGGGUUCCCGGCCUUACGUAAUUCAGUGAGUACUUUCUAUUUCCAAAAGACGACAUGAUUAGAAGAUGGAAUGAAAUUUCUUAAAAUGGAUACAGAAAGGUAGUUGAAAAUAGGGAAAGCAGUACAUAAACACAGAUUAAAAGCACAACUUCAACACUAUAAUUUAAGGCUAAGCUUAUCAUGCUCAAAAGGUAUGCUUGAUAAAGAUGCAAACUUAAUUUAUCUUACAUCUCAUAUUGUAUCAACUCAUCCGAAUGAUAAUCGAUCGACAAAUGUUCAUACAAGUUUGACGCCCUUGAGGUAACUGAAAGACCGAAAAAAAAAAAACAAAAACAAAACAAAACAAAAGUAGACGCUAACUUCUUAAUGCGCUUGUUUAUCCAUUCAAGUAAACUUUCAGCACUGCUAACAGUCGCUCCAGCAACAGAUUCCAGUCCUAACGUUUGCUUAAAAACCCCAUCGCUGGACGCAAAGACUCCAGGAGGUCCCCAAUAUAAUGUCGGAUACGAUUGAAUAUCAAAGCGCUCGCAGAGACCCUUGUUAGACUGCUCCAAUUGAUGUAAGGAAAUUACAAUUAUUCAACAGAUGUUAACAGCAAUGACAGGACUAAAUCUUGUGAUCAGUCAUGCACAAAUGCCAAUCAUGAUGUGGGAGGAUCACAUACUAACUUGAAAGAUUGAAGGAAUUAUUAGGAUAAGGCUAAUUACACACAACUAGGUGAUCCAUAAUUGACAUAUAUGCUUCAUCCGCUGAAAAUGCAUCACCUAUUGUUCCAUCAUUAACCCUGACAGUGACUUUCAGAAAAUAUUGAAAAAUGGAAGACGGCAAAAUAUCACCUCUAGAGCGCAGUUGACCAUGGUGACGUACACUUCACCCUCAUGAAUUGCAUUCGGAUCAUUAAACAAGCAUGCCACACGCUCGUAAUGUGGCUGCACUAUCACAAAUUAGGCUUAGAAACAGCACUUUGCCCAGUAAUCUGAGAAUAGACAUUUGUUCCGCGAAAACCAUUCUCUUCAAAGAAACUUGUAAUUUUGAUAUUCGUUAAACCUAGUUUUAAUUACGUUGCACUUUGCGCAAUAAUAUACUGACACAUCCUGAAAAACUUGUGAAGAGCCGUGACAGCAUGACAUCAAAUGCUUUUGAGAAAUUUUAGCUAGGAAGCCUAUCUUGAACUGCUGGCACUCCGGUAACCUACACAGACAUGAUUUCAAAACGUUUUUAGGCUGUAACGACAACCAACACAAUUUAACCCCCUCGGUAGAUCUCCAAUACAGACAAUAACUCGUCAGAUAAUGCCAGGCAUUGAGUGGGAUACAUAAGUCAUCCCAUACUUUUGAAACAAUGCACAAGAGAACACAAAAUUGAGUAAGCUUUCCAGUGCUGAUUUGGUACUACGUGGACAAAUCCUCGGGACACCAAGCACACCACAUUAAAGAGUCGAAUUCGUAUGCAAGCAUUAACUGUGUCACGGAAGGUGUACUCUCAUAUAUACAGUGUGGUUUAGAAUAAAGUGUGAGGGUUCAGGAAACCCAGUCUACAGAUCGAACAGUAAGCUUACCAAGACGCGAAAAACUCCACGAGUGCAUAUGGAGUCUUCGUCUGCGCCAGACUCGGAUGGAAUAUCUUGUCAUAAAGCUCAACAGCACAAUCGUCUUCGUUGCCCAGUGCGCUUCCAACGCCACCCACUAACAGCAGAGCUGCUACCCACAUGCUCGCCCAGUUCCUCUAACCGGCCAUCUUCCUCCCCCUCACUCGUUUUUUUUUCUUCUAACCCCAAUACACAAAAAAUCAGAGAAAAAGCUUAACAACGUUCGAAACCACACCAACAUUAAAAUCAACCACAGGAGCUCUCUACCAAGAAUGGGAAUCUGUUGCGCAAACCCUUCCGAGCGAAAAAAACCUCACUCAGCAAGAAUGUGACUCAUUGUACCAUUCAUUUGAGCCUCACACUCGGAAAAUGUAAUACCAGGGAUCCAGAUCCACACCCCCAUUAACCCAAUCACGUACGAAUAACGAUCGAAUUUGUACGUCACCACCACCUCGUCACCAUCUCCACCCAAAUUUGUAACGAUUUCUCAGCAACUGAAGCAAUGGAAUCUUGGGCAAAACCACGCAUCACGCUACGACAACAUUACUGCAACAUGAAUCCAUCAACCGGAGCUUGAUUCGGCACCGAACCCAGUUAUCAAAUCACUUACACAAGUGCUACUUGCACCGAUUUCUCCAACCCAACGCCAUAGCUCACUUCACCGAAACUCACACACACAAACACACACAUCACCAUUGAUUGUAGGGAUUAGAAAAAAAAAAAAAAAAAAAAACAAUGCCAGUUGGGUUCAGUUUGCAUUAUUAAAAUGGGAUGCUGUUGACGCUUUCUAUUCAGUGGUACAAAGAUUUACUGGUGCAUGUUUGAAACAAAUGGUAUGAUGCCACGGAAUGAUUUCUGUUCUGUCUUGCUUACUUUCAUGUCAAAAACUAAUGUCAUCUUUGUAUUUACAUGUAUAUACAUACAUACUUGUGUAUAUUCUCCAAGUCAUCAGCACUUAAAAUGUGCAAAGUAAUUAACAAAUAUUAGAAGGUCAAAGUUUAGACUUAGAUUGUGGUCAACAUGAAUUAGAAACAAUCAAAAUGCUGAUACACUCUUGUAUCACUCAAAAAGAGAUAUUCACUCAAAGGUAGUAUAGUAUUAAAAUUAGAAUGACUAUUACCAAAGAUAAGAAGUUUAGAGACUCUUGAAACAAGACUAAGAACAAAAAAAGCAUUAAGAGUGAAGAAGGCAUCACUCUUGCUUCUAUAUAUACUAUUUAACUAAGAGCUACAUGGCAAAGUUCUAUAGAACCUCCAACAUCCAUCUAACUUGCAAGACAAGUUUCUUUCAUAUGCACCAUAUGGCUAACUUGUUGGCCAAGUUUUCAACAUAUCAAUUACCUAUAUACACAUAUAAAGUCUAAUCCACAUCUAUAAAGUUUUUAAGAAGCCACUACACAAAAUAUUAUCUAAUCUACUUAUUAAUAUCUAUUUCUAUCUAACUAUUUUAAUUUAGAUAAAUAUAUAUAUAUAUAUAUAUAUGUUCAUAAUAAUGUGUUAUAUUUCAAAUAUUUAGAGGCUCUAAGUACUACCACCUAGAAUUUAUAAUUAUUUUUAAUUAUAAUUAGAAGAAAUUUUUAUUUUAUUUAAUUUAUUGAUAUUAAAAUGCUUUUAGUUUUUACUUAUAUUGGUUUGCAGAUACAAUUAUAAGUAUAUUUUAUUAAAAUUACUUUUAGAGCAAGUGAAUGCUCCUAAUAAUUAUGUAUAAAAGUAUUUGGUUAAAUGUGAAAUAUUUGUAGAAAUUUAAUGAAUAAAAUUAUGGCAUAUGGAAUUGCUAUUUUAUGUUCUAUAAUACAUUAGCCAUUGGUAUUAUUAGCCUUAAUGUAUACAACAUAUAUAAGAUAUAGAAGAAUUCAUAGUAGUAUAGAGAUUGAAGAAUAAUUUAGUUACUUAGCAUCUUGCAAAAGAUAGGUAAAAGUAAAACACAACCUUUGAUAGAUGUAUAUUAAUUGAAGACUAAUUUCAUGACAUGUAUAUGUUUUGAAUUAUUAGAUGGUUUAAAAUUAAAGACAUCAUUCAUUUUUAAAUUUUAUGAUACUAAAGAAUAUUUUAGAAUUUUAUUCUAAAAAUAAUAAUACCACAUUUUUUGUGUAAUUAUAUUAUUUAUUUUGAUUACCAUAUUUUAAUAAUGACAAUCUAUUAUAGUUAUAACAAUAACUAUAACAAUAGAAUUAGUUCUUUAAAGAUUACUACAUUAGAAAUAAAAUAAUUUUGCAAGAAUUCUUCAAUUGUAAGAAUUAUAUUGAAUAGUUAGUAUACCUUAAAAUUUUAUUACUAAUUUUUCUACAUAUUUAAAAUUUUAGUAUAAGAAGAUAUUAGAAUAUAAGUCUAGCAAGUUUCUAAAAUUUUAAUUUUACUAUUAUAAUUUUUUUAUUGAAGAAAAAGUAUUUUUUUAAUAAAUAGAGAGAUUUUUAUUCUAAAUAGAUCUCUAAAAUCAAAAACAUUCAUCUCUAUUGAGAAUGUUAAGAAAGACACAAGAAUAAUAGUAAGUAAUACACCCACACAAGAGUAAUAGUAAGUCAUACACACAAGAAAGUUUCUAAAAAGAGAGAGCUUCACACACAAAAUUCUAUUGUUCUGGGUGUGUUUCGUAUACAAGAAGAGAAAAGGGGAGAAGAUAAACAGUACUUCUCCACUAGACUCUAAAUAUUGUAGCUAUGGUAUUUACUAUAGUCUACAAUAAAUAUUAUGGAGAACGUUGUCGUAUUGUAACACGACUACAUGGUGAAAAUAUAAAUGAAAAAGAUUUUAUUAAUAUUUAGUCAUCUUAGAUGUUAGAAACAAUGGCCAAUUCUAGUGCCAAUAUUCAGGGGCCAGUUAAUGUCACCCCAUUGUAAGUUGUACCACUGAACGUAACAACAGCAUGUACUCCACUAGCGUCAUCGAACCAAGUACCCUCCAUACCAACGAGAUGACCAAGAUCAUUUUCUAACCUUACAUGGAAUAAGCCUAGUAGGUAUAUAUAGGUGGAGACACCCAAUAUGCCUGAUGGGGGUGCAAGAAGACCACUUCAUUGUUUCCAUUGCAAACAGAUUGGUCAUUAUGCUAGUGAAUGUUCCAAUCCCAGAGCCAGUCACAAUUACGUGCCAGUGUGUGGGAAUUGCAAGCAGUCGGGGCAUACAUAUCAAUAAUGUAAUGUUCCAUUCAAUUUCAAUAAUCGGGAUUAGCAGAUCCAAAGCCAAGAAAAAAUUGAGGAGAUAAAUGGAGGUCUUCAAGUUUCUUCAGUAAAUUCAGUGAAAUGUGUCCAAGCCAUUCUUACUAAGAGUCGGCAAAAGGGAAAAGGACCAAUUCAACAUUCAGGUGAGCUUGAUGGGAAGGGCUAAUUUGACCCAAUUAUGGGGACAUCCAAUCCAAGUCUUGUUACGGGCCUCUUACCCAGUAUGAGACUUGACUCGGUUGGUCAAGCCAAUGAGGUUCCGAUUAUGGAGGCUUUAGUUCCAUUUCAAGCUGUUUCAUUCUCUAUACCGUUUCGGGGAAACGUCCUUUCCAUAGAAAGAUCCUCUUAGAGGCAAGAAUUCCAUGGAAGUGUGGGUCUAUUGUUCCAAUUCCGAGUCUAGGGUGGAAGAAUAGGGGACCUUACGGAGUUAAAGGAAAAGAAAGAAAAAAGAAGAGGGCAUUCGGAGAUCGGAAUUUUUGGGGUCGAAGAGCUAGCUUCAAGCUCCUUCAAAAGGUAUAAGACUUAGUUUCAUAGGGUUUGGGAGGAUUUUGCAAUUGUUGCUUUAAGUCAGUGUUUGUAUUAGUAAAUUGAAUUUUUUUUGCAAUGAAGUUAAGGCAAGUACUCUUGAUUGUUUGGUGAAAUUGGAAAAACAUUUGUAGUUGAAAUUUUAGAAAUGUCUAGAUGGUUGAGUAUGCCAAGUGCUUGCAAAAAUUUGUGUUAAUCUAAUGGUAUGGAUAGAAGAUAUUUGAUCAUUAGUAUAAAGAGGUAUCAGAAGUCAACAUAUUCGGGUCGUUUAGGGUUUCUGUAAUAUCUGGAGAUCUAUCAGCUGGAAUAAGGUGAAUUUUGACAUGGUAAGUCAAGGACUUAAAGGUGGAGCUACACGCAAGGUUUGAAUGAGAAUUAAUGGUUGAAAAAGGAGAAAUUGCAAGUCAAGGUUCGUCAUCAACUUUCUAGGUGGCCGUCAUGGAACAUCAGUGUGGAUUUACAACGUUUUCUUGUAAUUUGUAAGUUAGAUUGGAUUGAAACUUCUUGAGCAUUUAGAAGACUUGCAAAGACACUAGCGAUAGAAGUUUUAUAACAAUCGGACGGUCAGAUUGAGAAUUACACCUUGCCAAAGCUCGUUGUAUAGGAUUAAGGUUUAAAAAUUAAAAAAUUAAAAAUUAAAAAUAAAUAAAAUAAAAUAAAAGAUAAAAAAUAAAACAAAUAUAUAAUAAUAAUAAUAAUAAUAAUACUAAUAAAUAUAAAAUAAAAUAAAAUAAAAUAAAACUAACAAAUAAUAGAAGAAUUUGUACUUAUAAUAUCUCGAAGUUAUUAAAAAUAGUGUUUCCAAGCACUUUGUAUUGAGAGUAAGCUUUUAUAUUGAAAUCCGAAAUAGUUUGUAUUUAGAUGGUUGAAACCCACUAGACUACUCGAAUACUUGUAAAAUAUCAUUUUAUCUUCUAUAGCCAGACGCCCGGUGCGUUUUCAAACAAGAUAGCACGUAAUAUGAUAACUUCAGCUACAUUUAAUGAUCUCAACACUCCUCCUUGCUCAUCAUAAUAUUUACAUAAUAUAAAAUUUGUAUAGAAUUAUGAUCUAUACUUUUCUGUGAGCUUGCAAGAUCAACAAUUGUUGCCUCAUUAAAACCUUAUUUAAAAAAAUCUUAUUGUAUUUAAAGACAAAACCAUAGAUGAAGGAAAAAGAAUACAACAUCAUUUUUUUUUAAUUAUUUAAAGAGCUCAUUAACUUUCUUAUUCAAGAAAAGCAAGUCGCUGCAUACCAAUGCCAUAAGUGAGUCAACAAUGGUUGCACAAUGGAAGAACUUUGGUAAAGAGUUUAAUAAGGUUAUUUAUAGAUUUAUUUUUCUUAAUUAUAAGUGCUUGAUCAGUAAUCAAGUCAUGGGUAUAACUAAAAUACUUUGAAUCAAUAUGCUUUGUCCUGUCACCUUUAAUGAAACCAACUUGCAUCUGUGCAAUACAAGCACUAUUAUCUUCAUAUAAGAUAGUUGGAGAAUCAUCAUAUGAAAAUCCAUAGGUUGUUUGAAUGAAUUUAUAAAUUGAUCCCAACCAAAUAUAUUCUCGAGAUGCUUCAUGUAAGGCAAUAAUUUUUGCAUGAUUGAAUGAAGUUGCAGUUAUUGUUUGUUUCAUUGAUUACCAUGAUAUUACAGCUCCGUGUUUUAAAAAUACAUAUUGUCACGAAUUUAGAAUACUGACUAGAAAUCUAAACAAGAAGCUCAAGAAGAAUCGGCAAGAACUAGAUUAGUCAGAUGAGUACAAGAACAAUACUAGAGAAGUGAACUAGAGCUCCAAGAGGUAUGUUGUCGAGAUUGAGGAUCCCCUCAGUCUCAGCUCUUAUAUAUACUAUAAGCUAAAAAGCUUCUCAAGCAGCUUCCACAAGCUUAAAAACUUCUCAAGUAGCUUCUACAAACUACAAAGAUUUUCUAGAAUCUUCUAGAAUCUUCUACAACUUCAUAGUGUAUGUCCUUGACAUCACCUCCCCCCCUUUUAGCUUCGAGGUCUCCAAGAAGCAUUCUUAUUGCGAGUCAGUACUAACGUAAAAUUGAUAUUUUGUCAAAACAACCAUACUUUAUCUCCAAUUUUGAAAGUAAGUGCGUGAUUUUGAAAUUUGUUUGCGGACGCCUUGUAAGCUUCUUGGAGGAUUUACAAUUGAAGCUUUAACGUAGUUUGAAGCUCUAAUAGUUGUUUCACAAAUCCUUCAACUGUUGGGUUAUUAUUGGUUGACGGAUUCAACAAAUCAAGCUUCGGAUGAUACCCAUAGUUGGAAAAGAAUAGUGUUUGUUGAGUUGAUGCAUGAAAGGUGUUGUUAUAUGCAAACUUGGCUAACAAUAAAUAUGCAAUCCAAUCAUCUUGCUGAUAGUUGAUGCUGUUUUGUAAAUACUAUUCCAAAAUUUGAUUCACCGAUUUUGUUUGGCCGUUAGUUUGAAGGUAGAAAGCCAAAGAAAGCUUGAUAUCCACCUUUAAUAUCUCAAAGAAAGAUCUCCAAAACUUUGAUACGAAUUAGGUUCCUCGAUCCGACACGAUAUUAUCUGGUAAACCAUGAUAUCGAUAUAUAUACUAUCAAAGAAGAACCUUGCUGUAUCUUUGCUUGACGAUGUUUUCUUGCAAAGGACAAAGUGUGCCAUCUUUGUAAGUCGAUCUACCACAACAAAGAUGUUGUCAAAUGAAUUCGAUGGUGGCAGGUCCAUAAUGAAGUUGAUGGAAAUUGAAGACCAUGGCUGACGUGGAAUAGGCAAUGGCUGAAGAAGAUCAUAAAGACGAUGCCAGGGGUUCUUGAAUCUUGAAUAAAUAUCACUAGAGAGGACAAAAUCCUUGACAUCCUUCUACAUUUGGACCCACCAAAAAUCUUGAGAAAUAAGUUCUAAGGUCUUAUUGAAUCCAAAAUGUCCCGCAGUUGGAAAGUCGUAUCGAGAUUGGAGAACUCGGAGUUGCGUUGGUCUCUUUGGAAUAUACAACUGGUCCUCAAAAUAUAAAAGAUCUCCUUCCACCUUGAACUUGUCAUUAUUGACAUGUUGAGUGAUAUCAAGGGCUACAAAAUCUCUAAUAGUCGCAGUACGUACUUGGUUGAGGAAGUCAGCAUUAAUUGGCACUAUAAUAGAGCAAAGCCUGAAUUAUUUCGACUUCAACAAUGUUGUAUACUGUUGAUCAAACGCUGCUUCUCCAGCCUUUGGUGCUAGAUAUGAUCUCCUUGAUAGUGCAUCAAAUAAUCCUUGUUGCUUCCGAGGUUGAUAAGUAAUAACAAAGUCAAACCUAGAUAUCAACAUAUUCCAUCGAGCUUGAUAAUAAUUCAGAACCCAAGCUGACAUAAAGCAUUCUAAAUUCUUGUGAUCCAUAUAUACAGUCACCAGAUGCGCAACUCUUUUGAGAAAGUAAUGCCACUCUUGGAAAGAAUCCUUUAUCGCAAGAAGUUCUUUAUCGUGGAUCUCAUAGUUGAUCUUUGCAGCAGGAAACUUUCGAGAGUAGAACGCAACUAGAUGAAGCUUCUUGUCUAUGCCUAUCUAUAAAAGUAUAGCUCCCAUAGCAAAAUUUGAAGCAUCAAUCUCCAAAUAAAAGGCCUUUGCAAAGUUGUGAUUACUCGUUUUACUUAUUCUAAAUUAAUCUAAUGGGAAUAAACCCAUAUAGGGAGAUUCGAACACAGAGAAUGACUAGUUGCUUAAGUGUUCACAUUAGGGUCACAUAAUCAAUUACUUCCUGAAUGUAUCAUCUCUAUUUCCAAUAUCUAAACACACAAAGAAACUAUAAUCUCCCCCUUCACCUUAUCGAUCUCUUCCUUACAGCAAUUCAGUCAUACCAAUAAUUGCUAUUUCCACCAAUAUAUUCAUCCUCAUAAUCUCCAAUUGUAAUACUGCGCCCUCACAACUUUCAGCACACAAUUACUCUCAUU
rnacentral:lncRNA from 1 species